rnacentral:lncRNA from 1 species
GUUGUUUCCCUAGCGAGAUCCCCAAGUGGAUUAGAUUUGGUGAAGGUUGUCCCCGGUGGGAUCCUUUCUCCAGCAGCGAUGCUAUUCCCCAGCACGGUUGAGAGGUUGGUGUGUUCCCCAUUCAGAGACUCCCCAGUUGAGUUGGUUUCUCUGCCGUCCCCAGAGUAUUAGAUCAGCAAGGCACUCCCAGCAGUGCGUCUCCCCACAGAGUUGGAGAAUCUAUUCAUAUUUGUGUGCUCAGUAGAGCAGUCCGUUGGCUCCCCAGCAGGAGUUUUCAUCAUUUUGCAUCUUGCAUGUAGUAAUCAUUGCAUCCUCAAAACGCGUAGCAUUUCCAUUCAACAUGGAGCAUUACGCCAUAGAAAAAUUCAAACAUAUGCAUUCAUGUGUUAAACCUAAUCAGACCAUAUCCCCGGCAGAGGCGGAUCGUUGUUCAAUAUCUGUAUGACACAUUUGCUACAGUUGCUCCUGACAGCAUUCAGGGUUGGUAUUCCCUAGAGAGGUUUAUUUCCUCACCCGUCCGUGAAAGGAAAGUUUGAUUCUCCCCAGUGAUAUCCCGAGCAAGUGUUUAGCCUUGCCUUGACAUAUGUAGAUGUCAUCCCUGUGAUACCGGUAAGUGUCAUGUUUGCACCUAUGUGUAUUCUUUCCUUGGUGUCGGUAAACACCAUUGUUUCGGUGUCGGUAAACAUCGAGUCCCACUCUAGUCAUCGAUAAAUGUCUGGUUAUCCCCUUUUGAUGUCGGUAAACAUCAUCUUUCGAUGUUUGUAACAUCUAUCUUUUUCCAUUCAUCCGUUGAUGUCUGGUCGCCUCUCCGUUGGUUUCGAUAAACGUUGGGUCUUUCCUAUUCGUCCGUUGACGUAUAGUUGUAUUCUUUCCCAUUCAUCCGUUGAUGUCUGGUCACCUCUCUGUUGGUGUCGAUAAACGUGGAGUUUUUCCCAUUCGUCCGUUGACGUCUGGUUGUAUAUCUUGUUCCCCAGUCAUCGGUAAAUGUAUGGUCGUCUUUUUUUGGAUGUCGGUAAACAUCAUCCUCCGAUGUCGGUAAACAUCGAGUCUCAUCCCAGUCAUCGGUAAAUGUCUGGUCGUGUGUCCUUCCUUUGAUAAAAAUUAAAUCCCCAGUAGAGUCGUCGGUAAACGUCUUGUCUGGUUCCAGUUGCAAAUAUCUUUUUCCUCCCCAGUUGGAGAUGCCAUCGGUAAAUGGCCUCGUCUUGCUUCGAUAUCGGUAAAUAUCGAAUGCCCAGUUUAGCCGCCAUCGGUAAAUGGCCUUGCUUUCUGUGACAUCUGUUUCCCAGCAGCCAUCGGUAAAUGGUCUCGCUGAUGCUGAUAUCGGUAAAUAUCAAGUUUCCAGUAAUUUAGCCAUCGGUAAAUGGUCUCGUUGAUGCUGAUAUCGGUAAAUAUCAAGUUUCCAGUAAUUUAGCCAUCGGUAAAUGGUCUCGCUGAAGUUGAUAUCGGUAAAUAUCCAGUUCCCGGCUAAGUCACCAUCGGUAAAUGGCCUCGCUUUUCUUUGUAUCAUAUCCCGCAGAGUGCAAAUUUCUACGGUUCUUUGGUAUUCAAUCCCUGUUUACCUUGAAGGUCUGACAGUCGUUGCUCUCAUCCGCUCAGAUUCCCAUUUGAUUGAAUAGGGGUAGCUGUAGCACCUCAAAUUUGGACCUCCCAUUUGUACAAUCAUUUCAUUUUUUAGGUCAUAAGCAUUGCAUAUCAUGUUACAUCUCAUCAGUCAAGACUGGUCAGGAGAUUCAACUGUGCAAGGCAACAAGAGCAUUUUCCAUGAGAUCAAAGCCAUAGGGUGGUUCCAUUGAGCUUACAUGACCCAAGGAUCAUUUUGAAGUAGCUUGGCCAAGUGUUGAAGGCUCAGAACUCAUCAGUGCAUGUGCAAGUCAUCUGAGGCCCAUAAAAGUCAACAGAAGUCAACUGCAAAGUCAAUUGUGGAUUUGGAGGUGGGAAGUGGUUAGAGAUGCUUCAUUCAUGUUCAAACAAGUCUCAUUUGACAUUUCAAGCACUCACAUUAAAGAAUUUGAAGUCAGGUCAAGACUUUCCCAAAAUAGCAAGUGACCUAUAAUUUGAAAUUUCCAAAAAUGGAAAGGUUUUGGACCAACUUCAACUCAAGUUUACAUCAUCAAGAAAGCUUCAAAUGAAAUUUUGUCUAACAUGAAAGUUGAAUAUCUUUCUCUCCCAUUUCCAAAAAGUCCAAGAUCAUGAAUUUCUAAUGUGUGGUUGAGGAGAUAUGAUCCAAUCAUGGCAAAGUGUGUUUGAAAAUUCAAAUGGGCAUAACUUUUGAACCAAAGCUCCAAAAUGAGUGUGUUCUUUUGCAUUUUGGGUUCAUCAUGACUGUAGUUUUCCAAACAUCUCAUUACAUGGAUGAAACCACAUUGCAUGAUCAUGUGCUCACUCAUGAGAUUUAUGAGAGUGACAUUUCUAAUCUUGGAUGAUCAUGAGGCAAUAAAAUACCAAUUUCAAAGACUUGCAUGGGAAUAUUAUUUUUAAGUGUUUUUGGGGCUUGUGUUGGUACUGUUCACAGCUGCAAUGAAGUGCAUGAGGUAAAAUACCAUUUUGCACAUACACCUUACAAUUUGGUUAAUCUUAAUUGGCAUUUGCUUAACAUGAUUUCAGUAUGAUUAGCAUGGGCAUAUAUAAGUUUAAACACAACUUUUUUCAGGUGAACAUUCAUUUUCAGAUCUAGAUUCAAAAAUCAUCCAAAUUUUUUCUCUCAAAAAUAUUUUGCAAUCUUCACACACAAGAGCCAUUUCUAACUGAUUGAUUCAUAGAUCAUGAAGCCAUUUUUAGAGUCGAAUUGGACGUGAAUUCGAAGCAGAUCGUGGGCAGUUUUGGUUCAUACAUGAAGCUUGAAGCAUCAUGGUAAAUUUCAAAAAUUUAUUACUGGAUUCCUAAUGCGUUUGAGCUUCCAUUUUUCCAUUCAAUCAAACUCCAUAAACCCCCAUUGUAAGAGGAGAUUUUGAGGCAUUGCUGAGCUUGUAAGCGCACGAUCCAGGUUCCUCUUCUAAAGAGGUCAGAUUUCGAUCUCUCUCUAAUUCUCAAAUACAUGCGUAUGUUUGUGUCGUCUCACGUUGUUGAGAAAUUCUGGUGACAAAAUUCACUUAAAAUGAUGCAAAUCCAUAACGUUAUGCAUGAUUGAAGUUUUGAACAGUGUGCAAGAAUGUUCUUCUUUCGAUUGAAUCAUGUUAUUAAGGAAAUUAGGAAUAGAAUGUUUCUUGAUCGUAUGAAUUCCACGUGAAAAUGCUUUUGAAUGCUAUGCUUGUUUUUAAUUUCUGGAGUUUUUUUGGAUUUCUGGAAUUUGAAGAUGAAUCUUCAUCUUCUUCGUGAUGAAGAUGAUGAAUCUUCAUAGUUUGCUACGAAUGUUCUUUAGCCAGCCACAGUUUAGCUACGAAAUCCUGAGUUUGCUACGAAUUCUGGGCGCUUAGGGUUUUAAGACCAAAACGGUGUCGUUUUGGUGAGCGCGCCCAUAUUUGAAAUUGGCUGAGGUUCGAGUCCCACCGAGCGCAUAUUUUCAAAUUGUUUAGCCUUUUCACAUGUUCCCUCCAUUACUCAUGCUUUGUACAUUUUUGAAAUCCAAUUUUUCUCCCAACUUCAAAAAAUCAUAUAAAAUGGAAAAAUGCUCCAAUUGAUCUCCAAUUUUUGGCAAAAUGCUCCUUAUUCUGUCUAGUUUUUUAUGAGCAUGAGUUUACAAGUUGUGCAUGGCUGGAUUUUAUUUGGUGCUAGGUUAUGUGAGCAUGUAUCCAUUUUUGACCUUGCCUUGCUUAUCCCUUUGUGAAAUGCUUGUUUCUUAUCCAAUGAGCUUGAAAUUUUGCAUGCUAUUUCUAGACACAUUUCUAGACAUGUUGGCUUUGGUUUGACAUUUUUCUCAUGUGCCAUUUCUGUUUUGUGCUUGUGCUAACUUGGUGUGACAAUUUGUGUCACACCUUUUGAUGUCUAACUUGUACAAUGUGAUUGCCAUGCCAAAUGAUGUCCAAUGCUCCUGAUUUUUUGUGUGAUGAAUGUUAUGGAUGUCUUGAUUGCUCAUGUUUUUUUCCAGAUUUUUGUGAAUCAUUUCUAUUUUGAUUUGAAUUUUUCAUUCAUCAUGAUCACACAUGAACUUUGAAAUUGCCUUUGACUUCACUUGAUCAUGAAAUGCAUUUGAUUAAUGAUUUUGAUGUGAGCCUUUUUAGGAUAUGUUAAUAUGUGUUUGAAGUUGAUUCAUGUUAAAUUUGAGCUUCUGUUUUGGAUUUUUGAUCCUCUUUUGACCCUAGGCUUUGACCUAGUGGUUUGGACUUACCAUUUGGAUUGUGAAUUUCAGGUUCAAGUACACAUCUCCGUGAGUGAUGAUGCUCCUUCAUUUGAGCUUAAUUAUUGGUUGAUGUUGGCUAACAUUUGCUUGUUUUGUAGGCUUUGAGGAUAAUUCAUUUGUGUUUUCCUAAUGCCUUGCACCAUUGUUGCCUGUUUGGAUUUGUCUGUCUGUGUGAUAUUAACUGUUGAUUGUUUGUCUGUACAUUUGAAUUGAUUGGUUUAGUUCUUUUCACAGGUACCUAAGUUGCUUUGAGUUCAUUUGAACUUGCUUGACAUUGCUUGUGGUUUGCAUACCACUGAGGUAUAAUCUCUUGACUUCAUGUAGUCUGGAAGACCUGUCCUGUUAUGUGGGCAGGCACCUGUCUGAAGCCCUCCUUAAGAGGCAAUGCUUGUGUUUGUUUAAUGUUGUGCCCUGUACAUUCAAAGACCUCCUAAGUGAAGAGGCAUUGGUAGAUACAAGGGAUGUGUAAUCCAUCCCUUGCUAUUCAGUUGUGUCAUUCACUUUGCUCACACCAUGUGUUGAUGCAUUGUGAAUAAGAAUCCAAGAUCUUGUUGUGUCAGUCAUCUGUGGAGAAGAGUUCCUACAUUCUGAACUCCCACACUUUCUAUUGUGAGUCAAGCUCUCCCAGGCCAGGGAUAAGAGCUGUGAGGUCUUACCCUCACUUCCGCAAUUUCAUCUGCUUCACCCUAACCCUCAUGUUAGGGUUAAGAGCUAAAAACACCUCCAUUCCAGUUGGGCUUGUUUUUUGUAGCCUAUGCUGUAUGAGGCCCAUUGUUUUGUAUAGUGUUGUUGUGCUGCUUUGUUGUGGCUUGUAUUUGCUUGGUUGUGUUGUUUUAGGCUUAGCUUGGCUUCCUGUGCAAGUUUAGGGAUAGAAACCUGCAAACAUAGGGAUGUAUGCAUGACAACUUCUACUAGGCUCGAGUCGUAGUCCUCCCUAGACGUUUGUGUCUCCCUUUGUCUUUGUUAGGUUUAGAAAGUUCUUCGCCGUGUAGGGGAACUACGUCGCCCUGAUCCUCAUACCAGAUGAGGUAACGUAGGCAGGAGAUGAGCUGAUCUCGUCCGGGCGCCCUUUUUCUUUUUCAACCUUUGUGUGUUUGGAGUCUGACAUAAGUCCAGCGAUUGGCAAUUAGUUUCCUGUGUGUGUUUGUUGUUGGAGUCUGACAUAAGGUCCAGCGAUUGGCAGUUUGGUUUCCUGUGUGUGUUUUGUUUGUUUGGAGUCUGACAUAACUCCAGCGAUUGGCAGUUGGUUUUCCUGUAUGUGUUUGUUGGUUCGGAGUCUGAUAUAAGUCCAACGAUUGGCAUUCGGUUUCCAUGUUUGCCUGCUUGUGUGGGAGUCUGACAUAACGUCCAGCGAUUGGCAGUCGUUUUCCAGUGUUUUGUUGUUUGUUUGGCGUGCGUUAGCCGAGCUACGAGUGCUCUGAUUCUUACUCUGGUUAGAGAAGAUAACGUAUGCAUAGGAUGCGACAUCCUAGCGAGCACGUUUCCCUAUCCCCGAACCUACGUCGAUCUCUGAUGUCUGUGUCUGACAGACUACGUAGGCCCAGGAUGCGUAUCCCUGCCGAGUCCCGUUUCUUCCGUCUUUUGUGUCUGUUUCCAGCGUGUGUGCAGUUUGUGAGCAGUUUCUAGCAACCUUUUUCUUAUUCUUUUGUGGUGGAUCCCGUCGAGUACGAACGAAUGCGUAGGGGUGAUAAUACCUUCCCUUCCGCAUAACCGACUCCCGAUCCCAUCUAUCUCUGGUCGCGAGACCAUGUCCUUUCCAGGUUUACUUCGAGCGUUUCCUUUCCCUCCUUUGGGAUAAAUAACGCACGGUGGCGGCUCUGUUGUUUCGUUUUCCCACCGGUUUUUCGCGAAAUGCGACACUCCCCUCUCCAUCGCAUGAUCUAAGGGCCAAGUUAGACUUCCUGAUCUGACGGUCCAAGGCAUCCCCACGAGUCAACACGGUUGACCGGUUUUUUAGGGCCUUGUGUGACUCGUUUUGGGCCAGUUCAACCUGGGCCUAUACUCGUUUUCCUAUUAAAACCCCCCCUUUGCCCAUUUUUGACAGACUCUGUUUGGGCUUGGUUUCUAUCCCAAGGCCCAAACUGUUCUAUUUUUAUUUAGUCCAUUUAUUUUACUUACUUGAUUUAAAUAGAGUUUUACCAAUUAAUUAAAUUUCUAUUAUCAUUUCUAAAAAUAAUUAAAAUUAUUUGAUUAUCUAUUAUUAUUAUCACCAUCAUUAGUUAUUUUAAGUAUAUAAUCAUCCAUUUUUUUGGGAUUUAGGAGAUUUAUUUGUAUUAAUAUUUAUUUAGUCAUUUGUAUAAGUGUUCGAUUUUAUAUGCGUGUCGUGCUACCUUUAUGACAAACCAUUUCCAUACCAUCAAUUCAAACCAAUUUUUAAACAAAUUAAACUUCUCGAUUCAAAGUCGAGCCCAUUUUAAAUGUCUUUGUAAGUCGAUCACUUUUAAAGCAUCGCCAUCAACCUCACAUAGCUUACUCUUGGGAUUUCUUACAAUGAGACCCAUUCGAUUUUAUUUAAUCGAGUAGAAAAACAAUACAUUAAAAUAAAAUUUGUUUCAUUCAUAGACAUAGAUUCAAAACCCCGGUCCGACAUCGAGUAUUCUUUAUUAAAUAUAAAUUAAAAUAUCUAAUCAUAAUUAAGUACCAUUCCAUUUGAAAAUGAAAAAGGAGAUGGUUUUGAGUUUUUAACUCCUCUCCUCGAUUAUUCAAAUACGAAUUCUUUUACUCGGUUAGUCGAAUAAUCGUCAUUUUAAUCCACUUAAGCACAAACAAAUCAAAUCCUUUUAUAAUAAGAAACCAAAAGAGAGAUAACUUUGAGUCUUCAAUUUUUCUCCUUGACUAGUUGAGUACAAGUUCUCUUACUUGGUUAGUCAAAUAAUUGUCUUUCCUUUACAAACUUCCAAACCCCGAUUAAAUCAAACUACCUUUCAUAACGACAAAAAUAAAAAGGGAGAUGACUUUGAGCCUUCAACUUCUCUUCUCAUCUGUUUGAAUACAAGUUCUCUUACUCGGUUAGUCGAACGAUUGACAUUUUAUAACCUAAUCAAAUCAUUUCAUAAUAAACUAUACGAAAAAGGAGAUGGUCUUGAGCCUUCGAUUCCUCUCCUCAAAUGCUUGGAUAUAAGAUGUCUUACUUAGCCAUUCGAGCACUUGUCGUUUAUUCUAAAAAUACAUCAAUCAUACACAACCUUAUUUUCAUAAUUACUCAGAUGAAACAGAAAGCGGUCUAGAGUCCUCUAUUCCCUUUCCCGAUUAUUAGGAUACGAGUUGUCUUACUCGACUAUCCGAGUAUUCGUCAUCCAUUUAAAACACCUUAAUUUUAUCAAACUCCUUUUACAGGUAAAGAUGAAAAAGAAAGUGGUCUAGAGUCUUCUAUUCCCUUUCUCGAUUAUUAGGAUAUGAGUUUCUUUACUCGACUAUCCGAGUAAUCGUCAUCCAAAAAAAACAUCUCAACCAAUCAAAAUACCCAACAUAUUAACUUAACUUGUCACCCCCGUGUGACCAAAACUCUUUUCAGAAAGAACACUGUUUAAUCCUUUCUAAUACGCACAACAAACUAGUGCUUAAGCCUCCGCUGAGGCUAGACAACCCAACGUUAACCUUUAGAACACAAUCUAAACAGCUGUUCGGUAAAAGACACCAACCAACCGUAGUUCCCCGAACUACGAAUGCUCUGAUUUCCUUAUUACACCAUAAGGAUACGUAGGCAGGAGAUUGUUGUAUCUUCGCGAGCACACUAAUAAAAAACCUCCCUUUCCCCUUUUUUGAGGUUUCCAUCCAUCUCUUUUCAAUACUCUAAUUACUCGAAUAAAACAAACAAACCUAAGUCAACACUCAAAUCGCAAAAUUGAACUAAAAGGUUCCCAUUGAGUACAACGGACGUGAGGGGUGCUAAUACCUUCCUCUCGCGUAAUCCACUCCCAAACCCGAAUAUGGUUGCGACAACCAUUAUUCUAUUUUCUAAAGGUUUUAUCGAUAUUUUCCUAUCCCUUCAUUGGGAUAAAUAAAGUUCGGUGGCGACUCUGUUCGAACAUAUAUUUUUUCCGCGACCAUCGCGAGGAAUCGUAUUUUUCGAGAUGCAACAUCAUGCAAGUAUUGGGAUGGCUCCUUAUGAAGCCUUGUAUGGACGAAAAUGUAGAACACCUUUAUGUUGGAUGGAAGUUGGUGAAGAAAGGAUCUUAGGACUGGAGAUUAUUCAAGAGACUACCGAAAGGAUUAAGAUGGUCCGUGAUAAGGUGAAGAAAGCACAAGAUCGCCAAAAGAGCUAUGCGGAUCAUAGGAGAAGACCAUUGGAAUUUGAUGAAGGUGAUCAUGUAUUUUUGAAGGUGACUUCGAGGAUGAGACUGAAAGGACCGUUUAAAUCACAUAAGCUAAGUCCGAGAUACAUAGGGCCAUACCAGAUUAUAGAGAGGAUUGGGGAAGUAGCCUACAGAUUAGCUUUAGCACCUUCUCUAUCAAAAAUGCAUGACGUCUUUCACGUAUCUCAACUUUGAAAGUUCAUUCCAUAUUCUCUUCAGCCUAUUCUUCCAGAUUCAAUAGAAGUAGAAGUAGAUCUGACUUUCGAACCUCUACCAAGUCGCAUUGCAGGACGAGAAGUUAAAGUAUUAAGGAAUAAGGAUAUUCCUCUUGUUAAGGUUCAGUGGGAUGAAUCACAUCCGGGCGAUACUACCUGGGAACUGGAGUCAGAAAUGCGAAAAGCUUACCCUCAUCUCUUCCAGGUAAUAUUUAAAUUCGAGGACGAAUUUUUAUUUAGGGGGGGGGGGGAGGAUGUAAGACCCCGAUUUCCUUAAAUACCUAAAUUCCUAUUAAUGAGAUCAAUUGAGUUCCCAUGUGCUUUAAGUUGUCUGGGAUAAUAGAGUAAAUAGUGAGUUCAGGUUGACUUAAUUAAUAUUAUUAGCUGACCUUUUAUUAAUUGGGACAUUUUGGUAACACUAAUAAUGGGUCAAUAGCUCUGGUAGAACAAAUAUUACAAGUUUGGUGCCACUUGAGAUAUUUGUUGCUACUAGAAACCACUUACUAACCACACAAAUAAUCAUGACCACUUGUUAAUGACCUUUGACUCACUCACCACCACAUGUUAUAACACACUUGCAUUAUGUAUAUCUCUCAGUAGAGCCACCAGAAGAAAAGGAAAGGAUGGAAAGAAAUAAGUAGCUCAAGGGAAAGGUAGAAGAAGCGAAAACAAGGCUAGUGGAGAAGAAGAAGAAGAAGAAAGCUUGGAACCAACACCAUCAUCUCCAUCAUCAUCAUCUCAUCUUCAACAACUUCUCCUCUUCCAUUCUUGAGGUGGGUUCUAGUUAGAAACCCUAGAUUUCUAGAGGAUUGGGGUUGUAGAAUCAUAGAUAAAUCAUGAAAAUCCAUGCUAUGUGAUGAAUAUUUCUCUUGAUGUUGUUGUUUUCAUGAACAUGUGCUUGAUGUGUUCUUAUGAUUGUUGUGAUUACAUGAUUUGUUGUGAUUGUGGUUAAAUGAUUGGUUGUGGUUAUGACCUUGAAAUACUUAUGGUUAUGAACUUGGAACUCUUGUUAUACAUCUGUAUAUGAGCAUGUAGUGUGAUGGGUGUGUUGGAAGAAGGAGUGGGGGUUGUUGGAAAUGGAUUGACAGAAGAAAAGUGGUGUUCUGUGAAGUGAGAAUGUGAAAAUGUGAGUGGACCAAUCGAUUGGUCCCUGCAACCAAUCGAUUGCACAACCUUUUAUUUUGCAGAAAAAUGUGAUUUUUACAGGACCAAUCCAUUGAAAGUGCAUUACAAUCGAUUGCAUAAACUUUCUGUAUAUGAACAGUGGAAAAUUUUAGUGAGCCAAUCGAUUGACACUCAGGAUCAAUCGAUUGAUCCUCAGCAAACUUUGAAAAAACAGAAAUGUGAGAGGAACCAAUUGAUUGGGCCUCCCCAACCAAUCGAUUGACUUAUGUUAAAAACUUCAAAAUCCAUUUCUUAAGUGUUUCUAAAUGCAUUCCUCCAACCAUUAAUCAUUUGUGAUGCUAUGCUUAUGUUGAAUACAUGCUAAUGGAGAAAAUUACAUGAUGAAUAUAGUAAGUUAACCUAGGAUUGGUAUUAGGUCAUGUGUGAGGUUUAUAACUUAGAUAACAUUGAAUGAUGGUAUUCAUUCGUACGACGCUUAUGUGGAGGUCAUGUACGAAUUGUUGCCUUGAUUGAGAAUGAGACGCAUUAUAUGGAACAUGCCAGAUCAUUGUUUGUAUAUUAUGGUGAAUGAAGUCACCUGUGAUUGAUGGAUUUUGUUAUGGUUCGUGGAACCAGUGAUUUAUGGAACCGAUCAUGUAUUCAGAAUGUGUCUUUUUCUGUGAUGGUGCACAUCUCUAUUUGGUAUGCUUAAAUGAGUAAGCAUUGGGAUGUGGGACCGAUGAUUCGAGCCUCAAUUGGGUUUGAGCGCCAACCACGGCAGACAUGGGGAAAGGUGGACACCAAAAUGGGUUAGAGGCCCGUACGGUGAAAGAUACCCGAAGUGGGUUAGAGACCCAUACGGGUGACGGUCUCUUGAACGGGGGAUUAAGCCUCAUAGAGGACCCGAUAUCCACCGCGAAAGUCAAAUCAUAUGAGCAUGCAUGAACCGAGCCUGGAUUAGACGUAAGUCCGUUCAGGAAUUGAUGUUUUGUGAUCUGAAUAAUGAUCGUGGUUGAGUUGUGAGAACUCAGGUGCAUGUUGCCAUACAUUGCGAGUUAGUUUCCCUAUCGCUCAAGUCUUCGUUCCCUUGUUGACUUGAGUUGAAUAUGAGUUGAUAUUGAUUAGAAAACCCUGUAGAGCCGAGUGGACCCAUAAGAUAGGGAACCCACUGAGAUUAUUAUCUCACUCCAUGUUAUUGAUUAUUUUUCAUAUACAAUAUACAAAUACAUUUGAAAAGUGAACUCAAUUGAGCAUUUUAUAAACGAGAGGACUCAUACACCUAUCACGUUAAAGUUUUAGGUAAAUAUGUGGUAUCUCUCUCACUUGUUUGGGUAGAUGUUUGACCCAAUGUGAAUACUUCCCCUUAUGAUGAUCCAUCUGUAUGCUUAUUGGAAAAAGGAAACAGAAAAAAAACCUUAUUUUUAAUUAUUUCGUUUGCAUAUAGAAUAUACAAAUACAUUUGAAAAGUGAACUAAAAUACAGUUAUAUAUUAUGAAUAUUAUGUUGUUUACGAAAACCAUCAACGAUAAUUCAUUUUUGUUUAUCUUUAAUUCAAUAUGCUUUCAUAUUGAUUAAUCAUUAUCAGAAAGUUAUAGUAUCGAUAAUCAUACUCCAAUACUAAUAGUUAGUAAAAUUCAAUAUGAAUGUGGAUAUUAUAAUUUUCACAACGCUCUAACUUUUUAUGAGAAAUGAUAAAUACGUAUCCUAAUUCAUAUCAGUUAAUCUUCUUUUGUUUAGAAUGUAUCCACGACAUAUCAGUUCGUUCUUUAAUGCUUGAAACGGAAGUCUCGAUUGACAUUAUUUUGAUGCGAUAAGAUUGUUAGGAAAUUGAUUGCAAAUCAAAUGGACCGAUACUAGAAUUGUGUACGAAUAACUUUUUUUAUAGUAUUUCAAGCACUAUCGAAUUGUCUCAAAGUUUGUACGCAUGAAUACCUAGGAUAAUUCAGCAUAUACUCGAGUUUGCGCAAGACCUGUGAAACUCGAAUGUAGGGAGGAUGAAAUCCACAAUUUUGUAUGAAGAGAAUAGAUUUUUCUUAUUUAUUUUUCUGAAUUCUGAAUGCUCAAUUAAUAGGCCAAAGUGGUGGUGUUUCAUAAGAUUGUAACUCUAGAUAAAAUACACACUUUCAGCAACACUUUUGCUAAAUGUUGCAUUGUUUCACCUACAACAACACUUUUCAAACGUUGCAUUGUUUCGUCUACAUCAACAGUUUUCAAAUAUUGUAUUGUUUCACAUUCUGCAAUACUUCACAAAGUGUUGUCUAUUUCCGAAUUCAAAAUACAAACUGCCUACUGCAAUACUUCACAAGUAUAGUCAAUUUCUAAAUUAAAAAAUUAACCAACACUUCCAUAUUUUCUUUUCAUUUUUAGAGCACACUCAAGAUUAUAAAUUGUUAAUAAUUUACAAAAAUAUACUCAUUUGUUCUCCACUCGUUGUUGAAGUAAGUGUUUCGUGCUUUAAACGUAGACUUUACCGAUCAAAUUUGAGUUCGUCAUAAAUAAGGCGGUUAUUACAUUUUGAAAUCAAAUACUUGUUUGCUUGAGGCAUAUUUGCAAAAUAUGUCCAACAUUUUUUGUUGCCAUACAACAAUAAUUCUAUCUCCAAUAAAGUUAAAUUCUUUGAUUCAUCGUCUGACAAAACCAACGGUAAAAAGUAAUGAAAACAUAAUAUAUACAUAAUAAUAAAUAAUUAUAAUUUUAUGAUAAUAAAAUAAUAUAGUAUUUAAAAAAUUGUAAAAAAAAAGAGAUAAUUUGAUUAGCAGGAAAAUGUAAAAUCACUAUAUUUAGAAUGUUGAUUCUAAAUAAAUUUAGAAGAAAAAUUACUAUAUUUAACCUUCUUUUCUUUAGGAAAUUUUUUAUUGGCAUCUAUCCAUGCCAAAAACUUUGAAUGUUCAAAUUUUUCUUUAUUCACCACAUGCCAAUUUCCUCAUGAUCAAAGAAGGUAAUCAUUUGUCCGUUUCCUAAAUGAAAAUACAAUCUUUCAAAUGAUGAUUCUCUAUAAUUAAUGUCAAAAGCGAAAGUUCUUCAUAUUGCAUCACACGCUGACAAACAUCAACGGUCAUAAUACCAUUUAAUUUUAUCAAACAAAGAUGUUUGCUUUUGAUCAACAUCACAAUAAUAAAAUAUAAUUCGAUCAUGAUCUUUGUUUAUAUACUUGAAGAGAUAUUUUAUGAAAAGUGAUUGGUUACACUACUCAACAUUUAUGUGUGCAUUGUAUUUCAACAAAAAAUACAUGUUAUCAACGAAAGAGUCACCUUUUUAAUAACUAUAUAAUUAUUAAUUUCCUAUGGUGUAAAAAAACCCUAAUUCAAUAAAUUUUAUAUGAUGUUUGAUAUUCUUAUAUUUUAUAAAGUAAUUAUAAAAACAUUAUUAUAAAAUGGCUAACGCCACAAAAUAAAAAAAAUUAUAAAAAAGAAAAACAGUUGUGAAAGGAAGAGAAUAAUAAAUAAUUUUUAGGUUUUUAAAGUAAUGUUGGCGUAGUUUAUUUUUUAUUGUUUGACUAAACCUAAUAAAUGGUGAAUGAUUUAUUAAAAUGUGAAGUGAAAAGUUAUUAGAAUUAGUGGAUGGAGAAGGAGACAGUGGAUUAGUAAUUUUAAUAUUUAUAAUUUUAAUUUAAAUAUUAUUAAUAAAUAGUUAAUGGUAUUAUUUAAGUUAACUUUCAAAUUCUUAUAUUUUCAUUAACCCACGUUUAUGAUAUAUAUAUAUAUAUAUAUUAUAUAUAUAUAUAUAUAUAUAUAUAUAUAUAUAUAUAUAUAUAUAUAUAUAUAUAUAAUAUUAUAUUAUAUAUAUAUAUAUAAUAAUAUUAUAUAUAUAUAUAUAUAUAUAUAUAUAUAUAUAUGUGACCUAUCCUAUUGUGUAUUUUUAAUAAUUAUAUAAUUUAAAUAUUGUUGGAUAAAUCAUAUCAUAGUGGAAUAAACAAUGUUUAAGAAUUUGUUUUCUAUUUUUUUUUAUCUUUAGAUCAUUUAGAAAAUUUGGGAAUUAAAAUAAAAUAAAAUAAAUUAUUAACAAAUAGUUAGUUAGUGGUAUAUUUUAAAUUAGAUUUCAAAUUCUUAUAUUCAUACACCUAUCAUAUUAAGGUUUUAGGUGAAUAUGUGACAUCUCUCUCACUUAUUUGGAUAAAUGUUUGACCCAAUGUAAAUACUUCCCCUCAUGAUGAUCCAUCUUUAUGCUUAUUGGAAAAAGGAAAAAACAACCUUAUUUUUAAUUAUUUCAUUUGCAUAUAGAAUAUACAAAUACAUUUGAAAAGUGGACUAAAAUACAGUUAUGUAUUAUGAAUAUUAUAUUGUUUACGAAAACCAUCAACGAUAAAUCAUUUUGUUUAUCUUUAAUUCAAUAUGCUUUCAUAUAAAUUAAUCAUUAUCAGAAAGUUAUAAUAUCGAUAAUCAUACUCCAAUAUUAAUCGUUACUAAAAUUGAAUCUGAAUCUUGAAAUAAUAUUUUUCAUAAUGCUCUAACUUUUUAUGAGAAAUGAUAAAUAUGUAUCGGAAUUCAUAUCAAUUAAUUUUCUUUUGUUUAGAAUGUAUCCACGACAUAGCAGUUCGUUCUUUAAUGCACGAAACGGAAUUCUCGGUUGACAUUUUUUUGAUGCGAUAAGAUUGUUAGAAAAUUGAUUGUAAAUCAAAUGGACUGAUGCUAGAAUCGUGAACGAAUCACUUUCCUUAUAGUAUUCAAAGCACUAUCGAAUUGUCUCAGAGUUUGUACGCAUGAAUACUUAGGAUAAUUCAGCAUAUACUCGAGUUUGCACAAGACCUAUGAAACUCGAAUGUAGGGAGGAUGAAAUCCAGAAUUUUGUGUGAAGAGAAUAUAUUUUUCUUAUUUAAUUUUCUGAAUCCUUAAUGUUCAAUUUAUAUGCCAAAGUGGUGGUGUUUCAUAAGGUUGUGACCCUUGAUGAAAUACAUUUCAGCAACACUUUUGCUAAAUGUUGCACUGUUUCGCCUACAACAACAGUUUUCAAACAUUGCAUUGUUUAGUCUACAUCAACAAUUUUCAAAUACUGUAUUGUUUCGUAUUCUACAACACUUCACAAAGUGUUGCCUAUUUCCGAAUUCAAAAUACAAAUUGCCUACUACAAUACUUCACAAGGAUAGUCUAUUUCUGAAUUAAAAAAUUAACCUUCACUUCCAUAUUUUCUUUUCAUUUUUAGAACACACUCAAGAUUAUUAAAUGUUAAUAAUUUAUAAUAAUAUACUCAUUUGUUCUCCACUCAUUGUGGAAGUAAGUGUUUCGUGCUUUAAGCGUAGACUUUACCGAUUAUAAUUGAGCUCGUCAUAAAUAAGGCGGUUAUUACAUUUUGAAAUCAAAUACUUGUUUGCUUGAGGCAUAUUUGCAAAAUAUGUCCAACAUUUUUUGUUGCUAUACAACAAUAAUUCUAUCUCAAAUAAAGUUAAAUUCUUUGAUUCCUGGUCUGACAAAAUCAUCUGUAAAAAGUAAUGAAAACUUAAUAUAUACAUAAUAAUAAAUAAUUAUAAUUUUAUGACAAUAAAAUAAUAUAAUAUUUAAAAAGUUGUAAAAAAAAGAGAUAAUUUGAUUACCAGGAAAACGUAAAAUCAAUCUAUUUAGAAUGUUGAUUCUAAACAAAUUUAGAAGAAAAAUCACUAUAUUUAACCUUCUUUUCUUUAGGAAAUUUUUUAUUGGCAUCUAUCCGUGCCAAAAAAUUUGAAUGUUCAAAUUUUGCUUUAUUUAUCACAUGACAAAUUUCCUCAUGAUCAAAGAAGGUACUCAUUUGUCUGUUUCCUAAAUGAAAAUACAAUCUUUUAAGUUAUGAUUCUCUAUAAUUAAUGUCAAAAGUGAAAGUUCUUCAUGUUGCGUCACACGUUGACAAACAUCUUCAGUCAUAAUACUAUUUAAUUUUAUCAAACAAAGAUGUUUGCUCUUGAUCAACAUCACAAUUAUAAAAUAUAUUAAGAUCAUGAUCUUUGUUUACAUACUUGAAGAGAUAUUUUAUGAAAAGUGAUUGGUUACACUACUCAACAUUUAUGUGUGCAUUGUAUUUAAACAAAAAAUACAUGUUAUAUUGUAUAACAAAUUUGUUAUCAACAAAAGAGUCUCCUUUUUAAUAACUAUAUAAUUAAUAAUUUUCUAUGGUGUAAAAAACCCCUAAUUCAAUAAAUUUUCUAUGAUGUUUGAUAUUCUUAAAUUUUAUAAAGUAAUUAUAAAAACAUUAUUAUAAAAUGGCUAACGCCAUAAAAUAAAAAAAAUUAUAAAAAAGAAAAAUAGCUGUGAAAGGAAGAGAUAAUAAAUAAUUUUUAGGUUUUUAAAGUAAUGUUGGCCUAGUUAUUUUUUAUUGUUUGACUAAACCUAAUAAAUGGUGAAUGAUUUAUUAAAAUGUGAAGUGAAAAAAAUUAUUAGAAUUAGUGGAUGGUGAAGGAGACAGUGGAUUAGUAAUUUUAAUAUUUUAAUUUUAAUUUUAAUUUUAAUAUUAUUAAUAAAUAGUUAGUAGUAUUAUUUAAGUUAACUUUCAAAUUCUUAUAUUUUCAUUAAACCACGUUUUCUCCUAUUGUGUAUUUUUAAUAUUUAUAUAAUUUAAAUAUUGUUGGAUAAACCAUAUCAUAGUGGAAUAAAUAAUGUUUAAGAAUUUGUUUUCUAUUAUUUUUUAUCUUUAGAUCAUUUACAAAAAUUUGGAAAUUAAAAUAAAAUAAAAUAAAUUAUUAACAAAUAGUUAGUUAAUAGUAUUUUUUAUAUUGACUUUCAAAUUCUUAUAUUUCCAUUAAUCCGUGUUGUGAUAUCUAUUAUCUAUAUAUAUAUAUAUAUAUAUAUAUAUAUAUAUAUAUAUAUAUAUAUAUAUUAUAUAUAAAUACAUAUAUAUAUUAUUAUAUAUAUAUAUAUAUAUAUAUAUAUAUAUAUAUCCUUUUCUAUUGUAAUUUUUUAAUCUAAAUUUAAAUAGUGUUUUGGUUUUGGUAAAUUUGUGUGUUUUUUUUUUAUUCCUGUAUUUGUUUUCUUCUAGAAAUAGUCUGAGAAUGCUAAUUUUUUUUUUAGUUCCUAAAGAUAAAGUUCGCAAGAAAAUCCGCAUAUUUUUCUGUUUUAGGGAUUAAAAUUAAAUGAAAUUCCAUAUUUAAAAUUUUUAUCUAAAAAAAUAAAAAUACAUGGACGAAAAACAAAAGGAUGUCAACUUAUAAGGACCAAAAAAUUAUUUAAAUUUUUAAUUUUAAUAUAAUUUAAAUAUAGUGGGAUAAAUAAUGUUAUAGUAGAAUCAUGUUUAAUAAUUUGUUUUCUAUUUCUUUAAUUUAUAGAUGAUUUAAAUUUUUUAAGAAUUAAAAUAAAAUAAAAUAAAUAAAUUUAAAUUUAUAAUAUCCCAAUCUCAAUCUUUUCAAAAGUAACGGACAGUGAGCUUAAAAACAAUUUAAAAAUUGAGUAGUUAGUGUCUAGUUUAUAAUAAAUAAAUAAAAUAAAAUAAAUGAGUAGUUAACUUAAAUGAGAAAAAGGAUGUUGCAUUAAGAAUAUAAAUUAUUUUUAUACUGUCAAUCAAUGACAACCAUGUAUUCUGUCAAGUCAGUCUAUAAAUUUUAAAUUAAUUAUAUAAUUUAAUAUUUUAAUUUAUUUUGAUUGAAUGUAUGUGUAAUAUUUUUUUACACUGACAGUGUUCGACUAUUAAACUCAACUUAAAAGUGGGUAGUUAAUUUUUUUUAAAAUGUGGGUUAUGCUUAUUUUAUGAUAGGUUUAUAAUAAAUAUUUAGAUAAUAAUAAUAAAAUUAAUAAAAUUGAAAAAAAGCUAGAUAAUGAGAUAAAUAAUAAUAAAUCAAUAAACAAAUAAAUAAAUACUAAAAUAGUUGUGUCCAAUAAGAUGUUUCUAUAUUAGCAUCAUUAUACUCUCUCUCAUCUUGUAAAGACCCUUUUGCAUAAGAUGCAUCUUUAAAAGUAUUGAGGACCACAUUGUUGACGACCUUUAUAUAUUCAAAACAUGUCGCACCUUUCAAUAAAUUCCGCAAGUAAUAUAAUUGAGCACUAUUGGAAAGAUUCCAAGCAUGGUUGUCAAACUCGCAGGUAGACUUGCAAACUCGUACGAAUUUAUGAGUCUAGAAAGCAAAAAUGAGUAGGCUCUGGUAGACUCGCACAAACUCGUAUAGACUCACGAGUCUAUGGCGGGUUUACGGGUCUAUACAUUUUUAAUUUAUUUUUUUUAAAACCCAAAAAAGACUCAAACUCCCCAUAAUAUUUUUUUAUUUAAAAAAAUCAUUUUUUACUUGUACGGGAAUUAGAAAGCCUCUCUUUUAGUCUCUUGUUUCAAUAAUGUUUCUCCCUCCCUUCAUCGAUGGUGUGGUGUGCAUUUGUCCCGUCUCUUGCUUUGUUCGCGUUCGUCCCCGUAAUCAAUCUUUCGUUGUGUAAGUGUUUUUUUAUAUUUUCACUUGGAAGUUUCUCUUAUAUAUUCUCUUGCGUAAAGAUGAUGAAUGGAUAACUGAUGAUCUUAAUGACAAAAAUGUGCAAACUGAAGUUAAUGUUGAAAAAGAUGAUGUUAUUGUUAACAAUGUUGUGGAAGUUGAUCUUGUUGUUACUAAUGUUGUGCAAAGUGGUGGUAGUGGUGUCAAUGUUGAAUUAGGUGGAAGUGGAACAUUAAGCGAUCCAACUUUGGUUAAUGAUGAAGAAGAUGUUUCAUCUCGGACAAAGUUUGAUGAUGAUACUCAAUAUACCGAUGAUGAUAAUGGUGAUUAUAUUGGUGGUUAUGAUUUCACAUGAGUUUUGGAUGUUAAAAUCCAUUAGCAUAUUUGUUUUAUGAUUUAUUUUUCUUUAUGUAGUAGCCAAUUAAGAAGAAAUUAGUUCUUUACGUCUUUAACUACAUACUUUGCUGUUUUGUUUGUUUUAUUAUUGAGUAUUUUUGUUAAGAAAUUUGGUAUAGAGUAUGAAAUUUAAAUUUUGAUGUUAAUUGGUGUUCUAUUAUAUAUAUUUGUAUCAUAUACGACACAUUUACAAAUUUAAAAAUAUAUGUGUGUGUCACAUACAAAUUUUUUAAAAUCAUUUUUUAAUUUUUCAUAGACUCGUACGAGUUUGCAAGUCGAGUUUACGGACCCUUUACGAGUCUGAGUAGACUCGCGAGUUUGACAACCUUGGUUGAUAGUAUUUGUACUUUUGAUUUAUUAUCGAUUUUAUUUUUAUUUUGACUUGUAUAGAUUAUAUUGUGUAUUUUGACUCCAUUGUGUAUCGACUGAUGACUUAUUUUGACAAUCUGGAUUUAGAUAUGUCAUUUUUUACCUAUCGAUUGUAUGGUUUAAUUCUCAUCACACAACAAAGUCCUUAUUAUUUAUAAAUCGUCAUUUUCAUCUGAAUAACUCUAAAACUAACUUAACUUUCAAUUUUCUGAUAGGGAUGUAUGAGGUGUGUUUUGAAAUAUUAUAGAGAUGCAUCUUUGUAAUUCAUUAACGUUUUGAUUUAAGAUAAGGUGCGUCCGAAGAUAUAUCUCUAAAAUUUAAGGGAUAUUUUGAAUUUUUCAUAUAAUAUUUUUCCACCUUAAAGGGGGUGGAAUAAGAAAUCCCCAAUUUAAAAAGCCCAACCAGGUCUGUAAAUUCAUGAAAGUCCAAACUUUAAAAGCCCAACCAGAUCAUUUAAAUUCAUGAAUACCCAUUCUAAAGUCUUUUUUGUUCUUCGUACAGAGUUGGAAGAAACCGAAACAGAAUCCAAAAGUAGAAGAAACCUUUGUUUAUUGAAAAAUACAGAGAGAGAUGGCGACCCUAGAUUCCGACGUCCCUAUGGUAGCCGCCGGCGAGUCCUCCUGCUCUCACGGUCCCUCUUCUUCCAAGAAGCCCAAGCGCUUCGAGAUCAAGAAGUGGAAUGCUGUUUCUCUCUGGGCUUGGGGUUUGUCUCUAUCUUAGCCCUCUCCCAAACCCUAAUUUCCUUCUCCUUUACCGUUUGUUUCUAACGAUCUUGCUGUUAUUCAUUGUUGUUUUGAUUUUUUUGAAAUGCAGACAUUGUUGUUGAUAACUGCGCUAUCUGCAGGAAUCAUAUCAUGGAUCUUUGUAAGCAUGUUAUUUCAGUUUUGUUGUUGUUGUAGAAGUUGUAAUUUUCGUUAGAGAAUAAUAACCUAAUUUCAAUUGAAUUUGAUGAUUGUUUUAGGCAUUGAGUGUCAGGCAAAUCAAGCUAGCGCAACUAGUGAGGAAUGCACAGUUGCUUGGGGUAUGAUCCUAAACUUUGUAAUUCAACUGAAUGUGCCUUUUGUAGCUUGUAUUGUUAUUCAAAAAAUGAUUAUAGAUUUCAAGUGAAAUUUAGUUUUAGAAGAUUUUCAGUUAUUGUUAUUCGAUUACUCAUCCAUCAAUGAAGAAAGUUGCUGACUAUUAGACUUAGCCUUUUAGGAUUGUUUAAAAGACAUCACCUCUCUAGCAAUAUGACUUUGUGAACAGGUAUUUUCUUUUUAGGACUAGAAGCUUUGGGGGCACAAUAGUUGUAGUUUUUCUCCCGGAGGCAAGCGGGUCACGAGUUUGUGUUGUAGAAUCAGCCCUUUGAAAAGGCAAGAUCAGGCUGCAUAUAGGAAAUUUAUUAAUUGAUCCAAGUAUCCAACCCUUCCUUGAACCUUGCCAUAACAGGAGCUUUAUAGCAUCGUGUUGCCUUUUGUUGUGUUCAUUUAUCUACAUAUCAAUAGGGAACAUUUAGUGUUAAUGGUAGUGAAUAAUUAAAUACCGCUAUCCUGUAAGAACGCAACUCAAAAUUCAACUACAAACAAACUUAUAAACAUGUUCAAGUAGACAACCAACCACUAAUUACUAAAAUGUCCAUCUCUACCAACAAUAGAUGCAAUGAGAUACUAAGCAUUACUAACAGUUAGUACUGUGCAACUCCUGGUUUAUCGUUUAUUUUAUUUACCCCAUCUUUGUUUCUGUUGUAAUUAUUGAGGUUUUCUUGCUUGCUGAUUAUACUUGCAUCUAGAUCUAGAUUUUAGAUCAUUCUACUUCAUAAUGUGACCAGGUUGAUUGUUUGUUUUAAUUAUCCCGUCUUUGUUUGUCAUAAUUAUUGAGGUUUUAUUACUUGCUGAUUAUACUUGCAUCUAUAUCUAGAUUGUGGAUAAUUCUACUUCAUAAUGUGAUCAGUUUUCAUUUUUUAAAUUUCAAAUACUUGCAGAUUUCUUAAACUAAUGUGUUUUCCUUGUCCAUGAGACUGGUUUGAACUAUGACAAUAAGCCAAUUAUGAUGAUUUUCAUUUUUCUGCUUUCUCAUUUUGUUGAUCAUGUUUCUUUUUUUUUUUGCUAUAAAUUUAUCUUUUGUAUGGGCAUAGUUCUCUAGAGUGAACCAUGAACUUAAUUAUCGACACUUCAAACAUUUUAAUAUAGGUUGAUCCAAUUUAUAUAUUCAAAUUCUCAAUUUUGUUCUUUUAUCAUAAAUAUAUUGGAGAGAUAAUUUCAUCAUUGAGGUAAAAUCUUUUGAUUCAGUGAGAUCUACACGCAACCCCUAAGUGUUUAUUACCGUCAGUCCAAAAACCCACGAUACAUAUUUAAGUGGGAGAGAGCAGACAUAGGUGGGCAUGGUAGUGAAGUUGUAAUACUGAGUGAGAAUGCAUUGGACUUGGGUUGCCUUUCCUGUAUAAUUUCUAUGUCAUCAAUCUCGGAUAGCGGCGUGGCACGGCCAUCUCUAAAAAUGGAACAACGGGAGCGUGGAGCGGAUCAGCCAAUAUUUUAGUGACGCGGAGACCGAUACAGUUAAUACUAAUUAAGACAGUUGUUAAAAACAAAUAAAUUAAUCAAAAUUUAUGAAGUAUUUAUAGAAAUAAGCAUAUGUCUUAAGCAAAACAUACAUGCAAAUGCCAAUAAAAUUCAAUAAAAGAACUUUGCUAUCCUUAAAUUUUUUUGGAUAAUUUCAUAUACGGCUGAUGCGGCUGCGGCCGGCUGCGUUAGAGCGGCAUUGUUCAGAAUUCAAUCUCAUUAUUACGACCAUUCCAACUGAGUCACCCAUCUGUGACGGAACAACACAGUCGGACGUGGUUUUCUUUGUUAGAUAACAUACAUUAGUUACCAUACAGAACGGCCGAGUUUAAUAACAUAGUAUAAACUUUAAUUUUUUUUACCAUACUUGCAUAUCAUAUUUGGUACUUGUACUGACAUAGCUGCAUUGGGUAAAAUUUAAGAGUUUAAUUUUGAUGUAUUGUCGGUGUAGAAUUUUUUAUACUAUUAAUUAAUUAUGACAAAUCGAGUGUGACAUUUAGGCUUGCUUAUUUUUAAUCAUCUGACACAGAAUUGAUUGAAAGUAUAAAUAUGUUUACACUGACUGCAUCUCAAUUAAAUCUAAUUUAAAAAUCAAGUUGAACUUAUUUGUUAGUUAGAUCAUCUAUAAUUAGUUCAUAGGUCAGUAUUCUAAUUGUGUAUGCUUGUCUAGUUAUUGUGAUUUGCAAGAGCAGGAUUACUCAAAUGUUUAUUGUUCUGGCUGGUAUCUUAUACAGGGGUUUGUAACCAUGCAUUUCAUUUCCAUUGCAUUAGCCGAUGGCUCAAGACCCGUCAAGUUUGCCCUCUAGGUAUGUUGGCCAAUUUCCUUUCACGCCUUCUGUUUCUGUUCGAACCCAAAUUGAUUGAUUAGUGUUCCUUACUUGGUUCUUGUUUCGCUUGGUAUAGAUAACAGUGAGUGGGAGUUUCAGAAAUACGGUCACUAACUUCGAUGCCGCGAGCUACUGCCUACUUGGACAUUUGGACUGUGUCUUUUGUUUUGGAACAUUUGUAGCUCUAUCCACUGUCCUUUGCUUGUCUACUUUAGUGUAACAGUAUUUUAAGAAAGUCACUCAUGAAAUGCAUUGUAACACAGUUACAUACCUACUGGGAAAUGAAAUCAUACUCUUUCAACUUACACAAAUAUGGGAUUUGUGCUGGGUCAUUUGAUUCCUUCGCCUGAGAGGAAAAUGAGAUGUUUAUUAUUGAAAUAUGUACAUUGAUUAUAUGUAUACAAAACUUGAAUUUUAGAUGUUGGUUCUUCUUAAUUAACCAGUAUAAUCUCUUGCUUUUUCCUGUAAGGGUAGUCACCUAUUUUAGAGGACCUAAACUCACUACAUGGCAAAUUAUUUAGGGGGAAUAUUACUCCUAUUGCACUGCAAAUAUUCAUGAGUAGGAAUUAAGAAUAAUUCUUAUGAUAAUCUUUCCUAUGGUGUAGAGAUAUCAUUAUUCCCCCAGGAAUUUAGUAUAAUUCUAAUGAUAUUUUCUAGGAAUAAUAUUUAAUGAUUAUUAUUACUAGGAGUUUUAUUCCUAAGAAUGCUAGUGGCGAGUAAUUAUAUAUUGAAAUUUACAACAACAUUACGUUAUCCUAUUAAGUGUGUGGGUUGAAAUUUACCCAUAGCCUUGAUUAAGUGUGGGAUGAGUAUCUAGAUCCUGCUUUACUUCUAACUCUUUGAUUUUUUAUCAUUCUAUCUAUUCUUUUUAUUACAUAAUCUAUAUAGUUUUCUUUAAAUGUUGAAGUAAUUUAAGUUUGUUUUAUCUACUAUUUUUUCUAUUAGGUUAUAUCCUAACACAUUUUAAUAUUGUAUUGUCAUUUUUAAUUUUAUACUGUCUAAUCUUAAUAUACAUUCAAUACAAUAUUAUCUCUAUUACAUUUACUUUAUUUAAUUUCUGACCGCUUAACAUUUUCAUACUAUAUUGCAAGUCUACAGUUCGAUAAAAAAAAUUCUUAAGCUUGAUAAUAUCUUUGUGUCAUAUAAAACUUUUGAAGACCUCCUUCAUUUUAGCCACAUAAUUUGAAUUCGAUAGUUUAUAUUCCUAUCUUCUAUUUCUUUCUGUUUUAUAGAUAUAAUAUAUUUAAAUCGUGUAAUUUAUAGGAUGGUAUGAUCUCCAAUUUUUAUCUUUAAUUUGGAAAUAAUUCUGCAUGGACAAAAUAAUAAUAAAAUAUUUUAAAAUAAUGUGGGAGUGAUUGAAAUGUUUUAUUAUUAUGAGAGUAAGAUUUUCACUUCUAAAUAAAAACAACUUAAGAAUGAGACAUUCCUGUGAAAAAAAUUAACGACUUUAUUUUCAAGAAAAUGAUAAUUAAAUUUAAACAACUAUUCAUAUAUUUACUAUAUUUGAAAUGCGACUAUUAUUAACCAAACCAAUUAAAAAGAAACUAAACAGAGAAUAAGAUGCUCAUUUUUAAUUCUCCAAAAAUGAUUCUUAAAAAUAGAAUUCUUAGAAGUGCAAUAAAUAUUUCAAUUUAGAGGUUGAAUUCGAACAAAGCAUUCUAUUAGUUGGCGAACAUCUAAACUACAUCGAAGUAUGUCUUCAUCUUAACUUUUAAUUUUUAUGUAACAUUUUUCCGCAUCUCAUGUUGGACUAAUUGAUGAUGAUUCUAAUUGUGGUUUUUAUAUAAGUGUGACUCUGAGCCACACUUAAGUUUGUAAAUUUCACUUCUUUCAUUGAUUGAUAUGAGUAUCGAAGUGUGUUAGCCUGAGAUUUUUGUUCAGCAUUUCGACAUGAAUAUGAGAUGUAUAUAAAUGUUAAGUGCAAAUAGCUAAGUUAUGUUUUCGACAUCAAGUGGACUUUUUAGAAAUUUGACAAAUGGACUUUUCGAUCAUAAUUAAGAAUUAAGAAACGAAUGUGUAAUUAUUUUUCGUCAUUCAAAAUCACGAGGGUUAUUGAGAAUUAUAAAAGAAUAUUAUAUUGAAGAAUUCAGUUAUUAUUCAAUAAAUUUUUAUUUUUUAGGGAUGAUAUAAAUUCAGAAGUGCAUUAAUUGGAUCUUUUAUAGAUUUCUCUUUCUUAUUUGUAGAACAGACAGAAUUGAAUUGGUCUAAUUCAGAAUUGUUCGAUAGAUUUUUAUCUUCUAUAUCUCAGUGAUAUAUCAAGAGAUAAAUAAUCGACCUGAUCCUUAGAUUUACUUAAGGCUUUCCAGGGGCCGUAUGAGAUGAAAAUCUCAUGUACGGUUCUGUAAUACAGAUGAGAACAGUAAUGUUAUCACCGACUAGGAUUAUCUAACAGUUUAAGUACAGUUGAUAUAGCUGACGCACAAUCAAAAUAUGGUUUUUGGGGUUGGAAUUUGUGGCGUCAACCUAUGGGUUUCAUCGUUUUUCUAAUUUCUUCGCUAGCAGAAUAUGAAAGAUUACCUUUUAAUUUACCAGAAGCAGAAGAAGAAUUAGUAGCUGGUUAUCAAACAAAAUAUUCAGGUAUUCAAUUUGGUUUAUUUUACGUUGCUUCCUAUUUAAACCUUUUAAUUUCUUCAUUAUUUGUAACAAUUCUUUACUUGGGCGGUUCAAAUAUUUCUAUUCCAUACAUAUGAUUAGGUAAAUUGAAGACGUUAUCGACAACAGUAACGAUUUGAAGCAAUUCAAAAACGAAAGACACAUGGAAACACAUCAGACGAUCAAAGCCCACAUAGUAAGAUACAUGUCGAACUCUGGAGAGAUAACCAUUACUGACAACUAUUGAUGUACCUAGUAUAUAAGUAGAUUUCGAUUUUGUAAUCAAGGGUCACAUUUCAUCCUGUUUUCUUUAAAAUUCACACUUUCGAGUCACAAAGAUAAAGGAUUUAUGAGAAAUGUAUGAAUUUGUGUUUCACUCUUAAUUCAAACAUUUUUAUCCAACUGCUUUAUCAUUACAUAUUUCUUUAUUUGCUUUAUCCAUUUAAGUACUUCUCCAUUUACUUCUUUGAAUAUUUACAUUAAAAAAUCCUGUUGGCACUAAUAAAUUUUCUCAAACGUUUAACACAAAGUGUCGUUUAUGAAUUUUUGAGUUUGAUCGUGCAAGUGAAUUACAACUCGUGAUUGUUUACUAAAAACACCAAUAAAAAAAUUGGCACAUUCGGUGGGACUCUUUUGUGUGGAAUUUAUCUUUUUUACAGAAAGUGUAUGUGUUGUUAUGUUUGUUUUCGUUCUUCACAUCUAAAUGUUGUCAAUUAUUGAGUGUUUAUACCUUCGAUGAGUGACAAGUUUGUUAGUAUGUCUUGCCCAUAAAGGAAUUAAUCCCCUCAAAGAGUUCCUCCUCCCCAAAACAACACUCCAAAUGUUGAAGAACAACCAAUCAACAUGAAGAUUGGUGUUUCAAGCACUUCAACAAUUGUUGGAGUAACUACUCCUCUCGUGAAUCAGAUGCUAGUUUCGACUACGACACCAUAUAUUGUAAUACCACCAUUACAACCAACUAUUUUCAUGUUAAUCCCGUGGUUACACAAACCACGACAGGAGUUAUCAAACUUCCAUUCCUCCCAAGUUUUACACUUCCCCAUAGUGGUAGGGAGUAUCCAUAUGGAAUGCCCACUACAAUGAUGGUAUGCUUGUAGACUAACGCGCCAAUGUAUACAAAUAAUACAAUGUCUAUUGCUUCUCCUUUCAAUCCAUACAUGGCGUCAGGAUCUGCUAUAAACAACCCUGGUCGAAUGGGUCAAUCUCAGAAAGGAUUGAGAUACAUCUCUCAGGUUAUGCCACCCUUAAAUAAUAAUUCUAUUUUGACUGUGAGGCAACUGAUGAAUGACAGGAACCAUGAUAUAUUUAACAUGCUUACCCAACAAAUUGGUACGAUGUUUAAUCCUUUGAUCGAAAAUAUAAAUCAUAGUUACCAACAAUUAGCACAUCAAAUGGGUCAAAUUGUUGACUUAUUUGGUGCUCUUCUAACAUCCAGUCAUCUAGUUCCUAAUAACCAAGUACGAUACUAAGUUGCUCCCCAUCCAAUCGAACAACCUAGACCCAGGGUAGUCGAAGAUGCUGGGUUGGCAAACAGGAACGAAGAUGCAUACCAUGUAGUUAGGAGAGUCCAACAGAACAAUUUUGGAUGAAAAAAAUAACAUAACCAAUAUGGUUGAACAAAUUCUAACUCAAAGUUAUCUUAAUAUUGGUCUUCAUAGGCCAAAUUUUGUUUCUGCAUUAUCUGAAUAUGUCUUGCAAACUAAACUUCCAAGGGGGUGGAAAAUCCCUAACUUUACUAAAUUUGCAGGUGACACUAGUGAGUUUACCGUCAAGUACAUUGCUCAAUACCAGUUAAAAGUCGAUGACCUGGCUAAUAACAAAAGUAUAAAGAUGAAAUACUUCCCAAAUUCCUUGGCAAAAAAUGCUUUCACAUGGUUCACUACUCUCCCUCCUAACUCCAUACAUAAUUGGAAUCAAUUAGAGAGAGUAUUCCAUGAGCAAUUUUAUAUGGUACAAUUGAAAAUUAGCUUGAAGGAGUUAGCUAGUGUGAAACGAAAAUUGUUUGAACCAAUAAACGAUUAUCUCAAUAGAUUCAGAUUAAUGAAGUCAAGGUGCUUUACUCAAGUGUCUGAACAUAAGUUAUUCGAAAUGGCUGCAGGUGGUUUAGACUAUUCCGUUAGGAAGAAGUUAGAUAACAAAUACCUAAGGGAUAUGGUCCAAUUAGCAGAUAGGGUUAGACAAGUCGAACUCCUAAAGGAAGAGAAUGCUAGAUCAUAAAAGGUUAGAAUAAAUCGACACUCUAGGAAGUACAAUAUUUCCUACAUAGAGGCAGAUGAUAAUGAUCAAGAACUGGACAAGUUUUUUACUAUGUAGAAGAAAAUGAGGCUAAUCUGGUAGAAUUACAGCCAAUGCCUUCAUAUCUCUAUAAAAUUUUGCGACCAUCAAAUGGGGAGAAUCUUGUUGAACCAAAGUAGAAAUGAGAAAUUUAUUACAAAAACUUAUACUUUUGAUGUAACUAAAUGUGAUGAAAUUUUUGACCUGUUGGUGAUUGAUGGUCAAAUCAUAGUGCCAAAAGGCCUAAGGGUGCCACAAUUGGAACAAAUGAAGAAAAAAGGUUUUUGUAAAUAUCAUAACUUCCUUGGUCAUUAUACUUCCCAGUGUAUUAUUUUCAAGGAUAUGGCGCAAGAUACGCUGAAGGAAGAAAGGUUGAAGUUUGGUGACAAACCUAAGCCAUCCAUGAAAAUUGACUCAGAUCCCCUGCAGGUAAAAAAUGAGAACCUCAUCGAACCAGUUGAGAUCAUGAUGGUCGAAGGUGCUAAGGAUCCCAACCCAAUGGUCAAAGAUCCAAAGAUGGAUGAUUAUAAAAAAAGUCGAAAAGGUGCAUCCCUUAGUUAAGGAAGAUAUUAUGGAUUUUCUAAAACAUUUCCAAGUCUGAGAUUCAGAAGUGAUGAUAUGUCCUCACUGCAGUUCAAUUUCCGACAAUAAGCAACGAAGGACCUUGAAAGAGUUUGGCGUCAGCAAAUGAGGGCAUCUGGCAAGAUUUAGCGAAGGAGUUCACAUCAUUGAAGUAAUUAAAGGAUAAAAUAUGUUCCAACAGAAGUGUACAUUUUGACAAAUAGGUUAGACCCAACGUCAAGUCUAAUGCCAAAAAGCCAAAAUGGAAGGUGAUAGAAAUUGGUUAAGGUUCGUCAUACAUGGCAAUUCCCAUAGUUCAAAAAACUAAUCUUAUAGUUCGAAAAACUACCUGGGUAAGAACCAUAUGACCAUGACACAAUUGAGGAGAUACCAACUAAAAAAGAAAGUUGAGUUCAAAGCUGGAGAACCAAGUAGAAGUGAAAACUUCCCACCUCUGACAUUUGCUCAAGUGAGGAAAAAACCCAUGGCAGAAAGAAUCUCGAUUCCCCAGCCAGCAGUGGUCAAGCCUAAGGACAAAGGACCCUUCUCCAAUGAAGACGAUGACAUGCUCGCAGACGACUUUGAAAUUGAGUCAGAUGAUGAGUUUGACGUUAUAUAUAAUGUUGUUUUUAUUUUACCCAUAGAACUCGACAUAAUGAAUGAAGUCAGCGAGGCGAGGAUGAUUACCUUGCUGAAGAAGUAACAAACCGAUGGCCUUUAUGCUACUGUGUUAUGGGUAAUUGCGACAUGGAAGAGGAAGAUGUUGUCUUUAAAAAACCUUAUAAAGAUAUGAAAAAGCAUCUUAAGCCACUCUUCGUUCAUGCUAAAGUUGACGGGGUAGGCAUGAACAAGGUUCUAGUAGAUGACGGAGUUGUAUUCAAUUUGAUGAGACAUUUCUUGUUGAAGAAGAAGGAAAGAUAGAUACAAAAUUGAGACCACAUAAUAUGGUCUUGUCUGAUUAUGAAGGCAAGACCCGUAAAGCUUUAAGAGUUACUUUAGCUAACAUUGUUGUAGGAACAAUGGUUAGACCAACUUUAUUCGUGGUCAUUCCAUCUAGGGACAACUAUAAUUUACUCAUGGGUCAAGAAUGGAUACAUGAUAUGGAGAAACUCCCCUCAAAUUAACAUAAAAGUUUUUCAAUCUGGAGGCAUGAUAACAUUAUGGAGAAUGUUGAAGCGAAUCAAAUCUAAUUCGUUGCUGAAGUGGAUCAUGUAGAUAAAGGCACAUUCGAAAAGAAACUUGCAACCAUUACACCCUAUAAUUUUGAUGGAAAGGAAUCCUCUAUGCGAGGAGUUGUCCUUUACUUGAUAUAGUUAUAUCCUACUCAUGGAUUCAUGUGUUAAUAAGACUCCAAGGAGAGUGAGUCUGAUGACGAUUCCGCCAAAAAUAUGGGGUGGUUCAUGGUAGAAAAUAGUGAUGUAUGAAUUGAGCGUGUUAGUUAGAAUUACGACCUAUCUAGUGGAAAAUCAGAUAAAUGAGGCUUUAGAAGUCGAUGUUAAACAAAAAAUGGCUUUUGAAGCUAGUCUGUUUGAAACUAAUAAAGUGACGGAGAUUGGUGAGAAUCCCGUUUCCAAGUUGGUCGAAAUAGACCAUUCAACAAUAGCUGAAGAGCAUGAAGAUAAAUCAAAAACCAAGAGACUCAGUUGUAUCUAUGAUGAUGAGAUUUUGGGAUUCAAAGAAGACCAAUUAGUUUCAGCUAAGAGGAUGCAAGCCCAAUAUCCACUAGAGGAGGUCGACUUAGCAGAUGGAACAAUAAAAAAUUGAACAUACAUAAGUGCCAAGAUUGAUCCAAUCCUAAAGAUCCAGAUGAUUGAAUUGAUUAAAGAAUUUAAGGAUUGUGUUCUCCUAGGAUUAUGAUGAAAUGACAGGUCUCAGUCAAGAUGUGGUAGAACUAAAGCUGCCAAUUUGACAUGAUAAGAGGCCGGUGAAGCAAACACCAAGAAGAUUUGCGUCAGAAGUGGUGCUGAAGAUAAAAUAAAUUGAAAGUCUCUUAAAGAACAAGUUUAUACGAACUACAAGAAGAUGUGCCAAAAAGGACAUUUUGAUGUCCUAGAGCCUUAAGAACAUAUGAAUGAGUAAUGAUUCCUUUUAGCCUAUAGAAUGCUGGUGCAACAUACCAAAGAGUAAUGAACACUAUGUUUUAUGAUUUGAUUGAAACCUUUAUGCAUGUCUAUAUUAAUGACAUCGUUAUUAAAUCUUCAUCAAAAAAUGGUCCUUCAGACCAUCUUCGACGAUCAUUAGAAAGAAUGAGGAAAUAUGACCUAAAAAUGAAUUCUUUUAACAAUGCCUUUGGUGUUAAUGUAGGCGUCUUCCUUGGCUUUAUGGUUCACAAAAAAGGAAUUGAGAUUAAUCAAAACAAAAUGAAGGUAAUCUUGAUUACAAGCUCUCCAUCAAAUAAGAGGCAACUUCAAUCUUUGUUGGGAAAGAUAAAUUUCCUUAGGAGGUUCGUUUCAAAUCUAAGUUGCAGAACAAAGGUUUUUUUUCCACUGGCGCGCUUGGAGAAGAAGAGGGAUUCAAAUAAGGAUCUGAGCAUCAAUAAGCUUUUGAUGAUAUUAAGAGUUAUUUGAUGAACCCCCUAUCUUAUUUCCUCGUAUGAGAAAUAAAUCCAUGAAAUGUAUAUUUAUGCAUCUGAAUUAACCAUAGGAAGUAUGUUAGCGCAAGAGAAUGACGAUGGCGUUGAAAGAGCCAUUUAUUGCCUUAGUCGGGGUUUAAAUGAUGUAGAAAAUAGGUAUAACCCAAUAAAGAAGUUAUGCCUUUGCUUGUAUUUCACAUGUACUAAAUUGAAAUAUUAUAUAAAGCCUAUUGAUGUUUUCGUUUAUUCUCAUUUUGAUGUCAUUAAGCAUAUGUUGACAUAACCUACUUUACAUAGUCAAAUUGGAAAAUGGGGUUUAGCUUUGAUUGAAUACUCUUUAACAUAUGCCCCUUUAAGGGUUAUGAAAGGCCAUGUUGUUGUUGGUUUUAUUGUUGAUCAUUUAAUAGUUGACGUAAAACAAGAUUAUGUUGGUCUGAAGCCUUGGAAAUUGUACUUCGAUGGUUCCAGACAUAAAAAUGGAUCUGAUGUUAAAAUUUUGUUAGUCCCUCCUCAAGAUAUUCCAACGAAGUUCAAAUAUAAGAUUAAAGGAUUUUUCUCCAAUAAUGAGGCAGAGUAUGAAGCUCUGGUUGCAGACCUUGAGAUUCUUUUGGAUUUGGGUGCCAAAGGAGUUGAAAUUAAAGGUGAUUCAGAGUUAGUCAUGAAACAAUUGACAAAAGAGUAUAAAUGCAUCAAAGAGAAUAUGCUGAGGUAAUUUGUCACAACCAACUCAUUAUUAAGAAGAUUUGAUGAAGUCAACAUCAUAGAUGUGCCUUAAGUUGAGAACCAAGAAGCUAAUGAUUUAAUGCAAAUUACUUAUGGUUACUGAGUUUCUAAGAAAAAGUUAGAAGAAUUAGUCGAGGUAAAAGAAAAGAUUAUUUCUAAUAAUCCUUUCCCAUUUGAGUUGUCAAAGUCAAAACUGGUGGGGGCAGAAGGGUUUGAUGAAUUAAAUAACUAUGUAAAAAAAUUUGCAUUGACAAUCUGUCGAAUAAUGAUUGGCAAAAAUCAAUAGUUGAUUUUUUUGGGAGAAUCCGACAGGAGGAACAAAUAAAAAAAUCAAAUACAAGACAUUAAAUUAUGUGAUUAUUGGGAACCAAUUGUUUAUAAAGACUCCUGAUGGAUUCUUGAUUAAAUGCCUUAGUGACAGUGAGGCUUAUUUGGCAACUUCUACUGUCCAUAGAGGGUCAUGUGACGCUCAUCAAGCAGGCUGCAAGAUGAAAUGUAUUUUUUUUCCCGAAAAGUUUUGUAUUGACCAACUGUGUUAAAAUAUUGUAUCAAAUUUGCAAAAGGUUGUAAAGAGUGUCAGAAACAUGCAUAUAUUCAACAUGUUCCUACAAUUGAGUUGCACUCAUCUGUCAAGGCUUUUCCAUUUAGAGGUUGGGUUUUAGAUAUAACUGGUGAAAUUUGACCUAUAUCAACCAAGGAUCAUAAGUACAUUUUGGUUGGUAUAUAUUAUUUUACCAAGUGGGUGGAAGUUGUUCCUUUGAUUAAUUUCAAUCAGGAAGCAGUAAUUAAUUUUAUUCAAGACCAUAAAAUAUAGAAGUUUGGAAUACCUGAAACUCUAACCACUUAUCAAGGUACAAUUUUUACUGGUAAAAAAUGGUUGAAUUUGCUUCAAUUUUAUGAAUCAAACUUUUAAUGUCUACUCCUUAUUAUGCUCAAGCAAUGGCCAAGUUGAACCAACUAACAAAAUUAUAAUUGGUUUGAUUAAACAAUAUGAUGGUCAAAUACCAAGAAAUUGGCAUUUAGACAAUAUAUUAUGGGCUUGUCGAAAUUCUCCUAAGAGGUAACUAAUACUACUUCGUUUAAAUUAACAUUUGGUCUUGACAUUGUUUUGCUUGUCGAAAUUUAUUUACAAUCAACUAAAAUUCAAAGGCAAAUUGAGAUUCCUUUUGAUCAUUAUUGUAAUAUGAUGCUAAAUGAGUUAGUUGAUUUAGAUGAGGAAAGAAUAACUGCUUUGAACAUUCUAAUAAGACAAAAGGAAUGAAUAGCUAAGACCUACAAUAAAUAGGUUAAGUCGAAAGCCUUUAUAGUUUAUGAUUACGUUUGAAAAGUUAGUUUGCAUGUGGAUCAAAAAUAUAGAACUUUAGGUAAAUGUUCACCAAAUUGGGAAGACCCAUUUCGAAUCAUUUAAGUUUUUUUAAUAAUGGCUAUAAAGUUAAAGAGUUGGGUUAUGAAGCUCGAACUCUGAGGAUAAAUGGUAAGUACUUAAAGAAGUAUAAACCUAAUGCAUAGGGAAUGAAAGUACUAAAAUGGCAUUGAAUUUAAAAGUGCUAAAAUGAUAAAUUGUCAUGACACAGUUACACAACAGAAAACAAGAAGUCGAACAUUUAGAAGGGAAAUUCGGUCUUGAUCUUUUCAAAGCGCUUUUUUGCAAGCUUGAUCCUUGUAUCAUUCAUGGAGUCUUUAGAUUUUAGGGUUUGAACCUCUUCAUCCAACAUAUCAGCAACAUAAGAGAUUUGGGGUUGCUUUUCGAUACCAGAAGAGGAAGCCAUUUUUUCUAGAACUCGAGUUGAAGAAAAGAUGAACAUGGAUGUUGUAGAAAAUGAAAGUUUUAGGGUGUAAGAAAGAGUGAUGUUGUGAAACGAAAGGAAAAAGAGAAAAGAAAAUUAUAUAUCUUUUGAAAUGAGGCUCUUCUCUUUUUUCCUCUGAAAUUAAAACAUGGCGUUUUGAUUUUUGAUUUAAAUCAUUACUAAUUAAUGAUUUUUCUUUUAUUUAAUACGGUUAAUUUUUGUGGUCCACAAUGGGCUUGGAAAUCGGAGCCAUGAUGACGAUGAUGUGUGUAAAUGCUAAGUGCAGAUAACUAAGUUAUGUUUUCGACAUGAAUAUGAGAUGUGAGAUGUGUAUAAAUGCUAAGUGCAGAUAACUAAGUUAUGUUUUCGACACUAAGUGGACUUUUCACAAAUUCGACAAAUGGAUUUUUCGACAUAUAUGAUUAGGUAGCUAAGAUGUUUUUGACAACAAUAACAGUUUGAAGCAAUUCAAAAACCAAAGAUACGUGGAAACACAUCAGAAGAAAAAAAUCUACGUAGUAAGAUACAUGUCGAACUCUUGAGAGAUAACCGUUGUUGACAGUUAUUGAUGUACCUAGAAUAUAAGUAGAUUUUGAUUUUGUAAUCGAGGGUCACAUUUCAUUAUGUUUUCUUUAAAAUUCACACAUCUAAGUCACAAAGAUAAAUUAUUUGUAAGAGAUGUAAUAACUUGCGUUCCACUCUUAAUUCAAACAUUUUUAUCCAAUUUAUUAUUACAUAUAUUUUUAUUUGCUCUAUCCAUUUACCUAUGCAUUUAAUUCUUUGAAUCUUUAUAUUAAAACACCUUUUAGCAUUAAUAUAUUUUCUCAAACGUUUAACACAAAGUAUUCUUUAAUAAAUUUCGAGUUUAUCCUACAAUUAAAUUAAAAUUCUUGAUUGUUGACAAAAAUACCAAUAAACAAAAUGCUAACUUUACAAAUAUAUUUUUUUUAUCAUCAAAAUCAAAAAUCUUACCGUGAUCAGCUUUAUCUUCUAUAAUUGAUUGUUCCUAUAAGGAAUAAAACUACACCAUAAUAAUGGAUUACAAACUCUAUAAAAAAAGAUAACAUUCUAGAAAGAGAACUCACCAAAUAAAUCUAUUAAUAUGAAUCUAACCUAUAAAACUUACACCAUCAUGAUUCUAAGAUAGAUCUAAAUUUUGACCUCACUAGACAAUAGACAAUGGCAUCAAUUUUUCUCAUGAUGAGGGCUAUUUUUAUUCAAGUAGUCCAAUUAUUUAUACUUUGUUCUUCAUUCUCAUUAAAUGCAUUUGGUUGAAAGGUAUGUUUUAAUACAUGAAAUGGUAUCAAAUUCCCAUAGGAAAUCUCUUCCCAAGCACAAAGGUCAACCCUAUUCUCUUUAUAUACUAAUUUUUUCCCCUUGCACGUUCUAUACUUGACUUGUCUCAUUUUUAGCCUAGUUUUUGUGUUGUAGGCUUCUAACAACAAGAGUUAAUUUAAAUUCUUCAUUACAUAUUCCUGGCCCACCCCAAGAUUCUAUAAUACGGGCCCCCUUUUGCUCCAUGUUUUACUCAAUAAUUAGUAUAUGGACCCACAAUUGAUAUGCUCUAUAUUUCUCAUCACAAAUUUAAAAUGCUAUUUAUGAGAUAAAUAAAUGUUUUCUUCUUGAAAUCCAAGAAUUAACAAAUAAAAAAAUACAAACAAAUAAAGGUUUCUUGAAAUAAUUUUUUAUUUUAAAUUUGAACAAUUUUGAUUCCUUUUUAUUAUUAUUUUUAUUUAAAAAUUAUCUGAUUCAUUAUUUUAAAAUAAUAUAUUACUUGCAAAUGUAAUAAAUUAUUAUAUGAACAUAUGUAUAAAAUUAAAAAAAAAAGUUAAACGGCAAUACAAAAUGAAAUUGUCAUCAAGAGAGACAAAAAGAUAUUUGAAAAUUUUUAAAAAUAAUAAAUACGAGUUAUACAUUAUUAAAAAUGGACAAAUCAUUAAUUUUCAUCCCAGAAUUUUGAGAAGAAAAUCAAAAUCACCUGAAUUUAAAAUAAGAGAAGUAGUUAUAUCAAUAUGAUAAAAUAUUAUAAAUUUGAAUUAAUAAAAUAAAAAGAUUAAACUAUAAUUUAAUCGAAUAAAUUAAUUUUAUUAACUUUUUCAUUUGCAUUUGUUUUUCUUUAAAUUAAGUUUUGUUCAUCUUUUAAAAAUUAAAAAUUAUCAUGACUCAAGGAUCGUGUUGAGUACUAGUCACAAGUAUUAUUGUAGUUAGAUUGGGUUUGUUUUAAGGUUUAAAAAAGUAGUUUUUGAAAAUAUGAUUAUGGAAAUGCAUUUUUUAAUGUUUAAUUUAAGUCUUAAAAAAUUAUUUUAAGAUAUUUUUUAUUUUUUAGAAAUUUUAUUUACACCUAAAUUUUCUGUUUUAUUUCGAGUCUUAAAGACUAAGAAUAUAAUAUUUCUAUCAAUAUAAUUUUCUAUUAUCACUCGCAUUUACUAUUAUUUUUAUUUUGUUUUAUAAUUUUAAAUUAAAUUAAUAUAACAAUUAUUCUUAAGAAUCUAAAUUUCCACCAAACAAACAAGUUGAAAUAAUAUUCCAAAAAAUAUUAAUCUUAAAAAUAUAAUUUCAAAAUAUAUAAAUGUAAAUCUUGAAACAAAUACUGUGACCAAUCUAAACUGAAAAAUACAUAAUUAAAUUUUAAUAAAGAUGACUCAUAUAACAAAAGUAAAUAAAUAUAUAGAGACAUUAUCCCACGAUACAAAAUAAAUAAUUGCACUCUCUUUUAAUAAUGGUACGAUUAUAAUCUUUGGGUUUAUAAAUUCUCCCAACCUCUGACAAAACAUUCCUAUUAUUCUUCUUCUCUUCUUCUUAUGCUAUAAAACUAUAAACCGUUCUUUGAAUUCUUCCAUGGAAAAAACAGUAUCAGCCAGUGGCAAUGAAACCAGAAAUUACCAACCUGAGGAAAGUGGUUGGACUUCAUACUUUGAAGAUUUCUCUAAACACAUUGAACCAAGUUAUUGCUCUUCAAGUUUAGGUGGUUCCUCUUUGGUCUCAGAUGCUGCUUCUUCUGCUGCAUGGAAAUUCUCACAUAAAAAUCAUAUUAGAAACUCAUCAAACCUCUCCAAGAAACUUUCUAUGAAGAAAACAAGAACCAAACAGAUUUCACAAGAUGAUCCUUUAGAGGACACCGCUAGCUCCCCCGUCAAUAGUCCAAGGGUAUGUAAAUAUAUAGUCCGAGACAGUUUAUUUUUUAGAUUUAUUAAAUAAUUAAUAUGUUAUUUUUUAAAUUUUUUAAAUAAUUAAUAUAUCAGAUACCAUUGUUUUUUUUAAAUACUCGUUAUUUGCAGGUGAGUGAUAUGAAUGCAAGAGAAAUGAUGUCAAGGAAGAUUGAUGAUCAACUUGAUGUCUCAAUUUCUAGGGUAAUCAACUAUGGUUAAUAGUUGAUGUUUUUAUUUUCUAUCUAGGAAAUAGUUUUGGAUUUUGAUGUUAACUAAAUACUAUUUUUUAUGAUGAUAAUUUUGUAGGGUAAGGGAUUUAAAUCAGAGCAUUAUCCAAAGGUGGAAACAAAUGAUUGUGACAUAAAUUUCAAUGGAAAAAAUGUUGAUUGUACAGGUUUGGAGAAAAAGGGACUAUGCUUGGUUCCUAUGUCCAUGUUGGUUAAUUAUUAUGGAUGAAUUAUUUGUUCUUUGUCUAGAAUCUCAUUUCUUCUUUAUUGAAAUCUCCAUUGAAGUGAAUUUGGGUUCAUAGCUUAAAUAAUCAUGUUGAAUUUGUAUAUAUACAUAGCAUGAUACUGAAAUAAUUGUACCAUAUCUAUCAUUCUUCUCAUGCUCAUAACUUGGAGCUGAGAAUUAAUGUUUCAUUUAUUAGUUAUUGAAAAAUAGUCUUAUUUAGAAUUUUCUCUAUUUUUUAUUGAUUUUUUCUACCGUUAAUAAAAUAUUAAUUUUGUGAAGUAAUUUAUAAUUUUUUUACGUAACAAUAAUUAAGUUUUAUUAAUUUAUAAAAUUAUCAAAUUAAUUUAUAAUUUGGAAUGUUUUAAAAUUUGACAAAUUUUCUCUCUCCAUUUUAAAUGGAUAUUAUUUGUUUGAAAAACACAAUAAAAAAGGAUAAGCUGACUAGAUAAUGUUAGGAAAAUAUGUGGUUGGCAUAACUAAAAACUUGAAAUUAAUAAACAAAAUGCUGGUCACAACAAAAAUAAUGGAAAUGGGUGAGGAAGAGCACUAGUUCAAUAUUUAUACUGUUAUUGGUAUUGGGGAGAAAAAGUUUAUAUGGUAUUGAAGAGACUUGAAACUAGGUGAAUUCAUACUUUUUUAAUCAAAAGGCCAAAUGCCAAAAUAUAUAUAGAAAGGUGGAAGGAACAUACAUUGGAGGGGGACCAAAAUCGAAAUCCUUCUUAGUGUUUAAAUCUAAAGCAAGUUUUAAUUUGCUUCUUGUGCAAAUAAUCUAGUUUAAUGGUAUUAUGUACAUAGUUCAACCAAAGAAAUUUUUCUAAAAUUAAGCAUAUAUAUAUAUAUAUAUAUANUAAUAAAAUAUUAAUUUUGUGAAGUAAUUUAUAAUUUUUUUACGUAACAAUAAUUAAGUUUUAUUAAUUUAUAAAAUUAUUCAAAUUAAUUUAUAAUUGGAAUGUUUUAAAUUUGACAAAUUUUCUCUCUCCAUUUUAAAUGGAUAUUAUUUGUUUGAAAACACAAUAAAAAAGGAUAGCUGACUAGAUAAUGUAGGAAAAUAUGUGGUUGGCAUAACUAAAAACUUGAAAUUAAUAAACAAAAUGCUGGUCACAACAAAAAUAAUGGAAAUGGGUGAGGAAGAGCACUAGUUCAAUAUUUAUAUGUUAUUGGUAUUGGGGAGAAAAAUUAUAUGGUAUUGAAGAGACUUGAAACUAGGUGAAUUCAUACUUUUUUAAUCAAAAGGCCAAUGCCAUAUAUAUAGAAGGUGGAAGGAACAUACAUUGGAGGGGGACCAAAAUCGAAAUCCUUCUUAGUGUUUAAAUCUAAAGCAAGUUUAAUUUGCUUCUUGUGCAAAUAAUCUAGUUUAUGGUAUUAUGUACAUAGUUCAACAAAGAAAUUUUUCUAAAAUUAAGCAUAUAUAUAUAUAUAUAUAUAUAUAUAUAUAUUAUAUAUAUAUAUAUAUAUAUUAUAUUAUAUAUUAUAUAUAUAUAUAUAUAUAUAUAUAUAAUAUAUAUAUUAUAAUAUAUAUAUAUAUAUAUAUAUAUAAAAAAUCAUAAAGUUCAUGAAUUAGUGAAAUUAUUGAAAUAAAUAAUUUAUUUUCAUCUGGUCCUUAAUUGCCAAGACACCAAAGACCGAUUUGAGAAAGCUUGCACUAUCAACCGGGAAUCAAAUUCUAGCCAGAUGUUCUUCCAAUCCUUCUUGUUAGCUAUCUUAAUGCCUAUCAGAGUCCCUAUGAAUUCUGCACAUAAAACCCUCAAAGAAAAAGAAGGUGUUCUUCAAAUCCUUCUUGUUAGCUAUCUCAAUGCUUAUCAUAGACGAAAAAAAUGAUCACGGGUGUUCGCACGCUCGUGAUGAUAACAGAGUCGCCCUCGAACUUUAUUUAUUCUAAAAGGAAAUAAAAAAUAUCAAUAAAAUCCUUAAAAAAAAAAGAUCGUCGCAACCAAAUUCAGGUUCAAGAGUCGAUUAUGCGAGGGGAAGGUAUUAGACCUCUCACAUCCGUUGUACUCAACGGGAACCAUUUAGUUAGCUUUGCGAAUAAAUGUUAGCUUUCGUUAUUUGUAUUUUCUAGUUGUUAAAAGUAUGAAAACAAAAAAGAAAAAGACUAAAAUAAGUUUUUUAUUAGGGUGCCUGACGAGACGUUCAAUCUCGCUCAUGCGUAUCUCCAGGUGCGAUGAAGAACUCAAGGCUAUGCCACCUAAAAUAUACUUAGUCACAUUCGAGCAAAAGACAUUUCUUGCCACCUAAAAUAUGGAGAAGUGAACAUUGACAUCACGUCAAAAUGGACAACAUAACUUGGAGUCUCAUAGAGUUAUGUUCUCAUCGCACUCGAGCGAAAAACGUUCUAACUUCUUGCACAUGAUAGGAACGAAACAUUGUUUCCAACGUCUCAGAAUGGACGAAGUAUAUUUCAUUUAUGAAAGGUUUUGACAUCGCGCUAAGGGGUAAAAGAUAAGUUUGAUUUGGUGGAUUGUUUUUAGGUGGAAGACAAGUAUUCACACAACGAGCUCUACAACCAGUAUCUGAAUACUCGGGGAAAAAUAGGUCUACACCCAAUUAGUUUUUUUUUUUCAAAUUUAUUCUAAAAGAUAUGAGGUGAAUUGAGUAAUGGUUCCUUAAUGGAAGACGAGUAUUCACACAACAAGCUCUACAUCCAGUAUCCAAACACUUGAGAAAGAAAGAGGCCUACAUCCAAUUAGUCAUCUUUCUUCUAUAAAAGAACGAAUCAAAUUCGGUUAAUUAUUGUAUUUUAAUGUGAAUGAUACAACUAGUGUCCAAGCACUCUGGGGAAAAAAAGGCCUACACCAAAUUAAUCCUUUUUCAUCCGAUUUAUUUGAGAAAAAGAUUUUCAACGCUCCGAUUAAGAGGAGGGGUGUGCUUAGAAAAACCUAGGGUGCAAGGGCCCAAAGGGUGCUGACCCAUCAGCAUAGAGGAUUCAGGAGAGUCAACUAAGGUGACUCAUCUAAGGGUGAUGACUAGAGGGAGGGCUGAAUUAUGAUGGGGGUCCCCAUAUGGGACCCUAAGUUAACGAAAAAUGUAAGCAAAAUCAAAGGUCACGGGCAAGCCACGUGUGACCUUCAGAGAGAGAUGAAGAUGCCACUAAAAGAGGGGAUGCAUGCAUGUGGUUUCAUUCCACCAUUCACUUACCCUCUCUUAACCUCUCUCAACAAACACUCUCUCAACACUUCCUCUGAAUUCACAUAGAUCAAACACAUGAAAAAAACAAGAAUACGAAUGAACACCAUGAAGGUGUUCAUCACUAUUUUUCUAGUUUUUCCAAAUGCAUCUAAAUCAUAAAAUGACCAACAUGAACCCUCAUUAAAAACUCGCCCUUAUCCAAAAUCAACAAUCAAAAUUAGCAAAACAUAAGCCAGCAAAGUGGAUCGAAAAACCCUUUCACCCACAAUCCCUACCCCAAUCCAUUAAUUUUCCUCAAAUUACAACCAAUUACAUAUAAUUUAACAUAUAGGGGAAGCAUAAAUCCUGAAGAUAAAUAAUAGUAAAAAAAAUAAAAAACAACGAAAAAGAACUCUAACGACAACUCCUACCUCGGGCACAAUGGUUUCUAUUUACCUAAAGACUCAGGUAAGCCUUUUCUUCUUAUUCUGCUUCCAUAUUUCUCCUACUGCUUUCCUUUCUUUUCCUACAAAAUUCUUCUUCUACACUCUGGUUGUAUGCUGAUGGUGAAGAGGAGCUUGAGGUGAGGCUCAAAGCUUCGAAUAAGGUUUGUUAGGGGUUGUGAUGAUGUUGCAACUGAGGUUUGUUAGGGAUUUUUUAGCGUGUCAAUGAAUGGAUUAAGAGGGGAUUUUAUAGGAUAAGGAUUCAGGGUGGUAUGAGACUCGUGUGGGAUGAUUUUUGGAUGGAAUUAGUGAGUGUGUGGUAAGGUGAGGGAGGCGUGAGUGUAAUGGAUAAGAGUGAGAUUAUGUUAGGCCAAAGAUGCGUGAGUUGAGAUUGAUGUACGUAUGUUGUUGUAAGGGGAUGACCAUGGUAAUGUAUGGAGUGUUGCAGAUGGUUAUGUAUGUUGUAUGUAUGUUGUUGCAACUUUAUCUUUAAUUGGUUCGUUAUGCAUAUGUGGAUGAUGAUGGGUGUAAUUAGCUGUUGUUAUUGCUCAUGCUUUUUGCGUUCAAGUUAAUAUUCAUUUUAUUGUUUCAUUUUGAAUGGGGAUAUCUGUUUGUGUAUGAUAUUAGGUUGAGGCCAUGUAACUUUCAUAUUGUCAAUGCAAUGAAAACAAAAUCUUCACUUUAGUUCAAAUCAUUCUUUCAAUUCCUUUCAUUUCAACUCAAGUUUAUAUAUGAUUAUGGAUGCAAUGUGUGUAAUCUCAUGACCUUGCAAAUGACCACGUCCAAAUUAAAUUUGGAUUUACUACUUUUCUCUCUUUUUUUUCUUUUCAAUUGAAUUUUAUUUCAAACUCAUGGGUUGUGAUGUUAGUGUAUGUAAUAAACAAGAGUUCAAGUUCAAUUUUAGUUUAAAUCAAAUUGCUUUUUAAGCCUUAUGGACAAUGAAUCAACAAUCUUAUUUUUUCAAAUUUCAAAUGGAUAUGUAUGAAAAAAAUGGAUGUGAUAUUGAGGACACACCUAAAUUACUUUGAAACUUAUUUUUAACUCUACAACGUGAUUUUACGAAGAAAAAAAAGGGAUGUACCAUAUCAAUGCAUUAUGCAAAGUUAGUGAUUUAUUAAAAAACAAAAACAAUAGAAUGAUUUAAACUUAACAUUACUUUGUCUUUAUUUAAAAUUAGAUGAUGGUGAUAUGAUGAUGAUAAUGCUAUGUGACAACAUAAGUGAGUUAAUUUUAACAAUAACUUUUUUCAAAUUAAAAGUGAUAAUCAUAUGAUGAAGGACUAAAUACUUAUAGUGUAAGACAAUGCAAAUGCACAAAGACAAAAACAAAUGAAAACAAGCAAAUAGAUCUUCUUUUUUUACUCUAAAAUGACACCUAAAUGGGUACCAAAUUAUCAAUAAAAAUGGAACUUAAUGACCAAUGAAAUGGUCAUAAUAUAAUGAUGAUGAAUAUGAACUACAUGCAAUCAACAAGUGAAGAAUAUUAAGGGAAAAAUUUAGGGUUUGACACUUGGACGCGAAAGAGAUUUUACCUCGAUUAUACAAGCAAGGUAACGAAGGGCGACAUGAAAACUUGUCACCUUACCCCUCAGUUUUGAAAUAACUUAGGGGAUAGUUGAAAUGGUCAUUGAUUCAAUCCUCAACAAUAACAUUUUUUUAUUUUCAAAACUAUGUAGCGCACGCCACAUACCUCUCGGUUUUUGUUAAUAACCGAGGGGAACGAGUCAUUAUUUACGCCAAUUUGGUAUAAUAAUCGAUGGGCAUAACAUAUUGUUGUCAUUUAUAAUUUAUUUUAAAUCUCAUUUUGGCUGGCCUGUGUCAUUUUUAUACAUAAAAACUAUAAAUUUUGUUACAAAAUCAGAUGAUUUUAUUUUAUAUAGAACAUAAACAUAGAAAACCAAAUUUACAAAACCAAAUGUACACAUAUUCAAAAUGGUUCACCAAGAGAACCUAUACAUAUUUGAAAGCAGAAUCAUAUAAUGCUUACAAUACCUAUAAUGACAUUUGGGAUACACAAAACCUCUACCAAGAGAACUUAUACAUAUAUAUUUGAACAUAUACAUAUUUGCACCUAAAAUGACAAAACCUCUAUACAGUGCUUACAACAACCAAGAAAAAUUAGUUUUGUUUAGAUUCAUAAUAAAAUAGGAAGGUACCGUCCCAAUAUGAUCGGAUGUCAUUUAUAUCCUCUUGUGAGAAUGAUGUUUCAUUGCUAAAUGCCUAUAAUUUGAGUAAAAUUUAAAUUAUGAUAAGCUAACAACAACAACAUUAACUUAACAAAUAUAAAUGCAUUACAUGUAUAUAGAUAAAGUUAAUACCUUAAGGCAUGAAUUGAUAAUGCCUCCGAAGAUAAUGUUUAACACAUUUCUCAUAACAUAGUAUCCACAAAAGAAGCUGUCAAAUUGUUUUUGUGACUAUAAAUAAUUUUAAUAAAUUUACUAAUUAAUACACAAAAAACACAAGUAAUACAUUAGCAAAAAUAAAAUAAUGUCAAAAAUCACAAGUAGUACUUACUUUUGGAAAAAGGAACCUUGACUUUUUACCUUGUAGAUCACGUUUCACAAAAUUGUAUCCCUCCAUAGCUCUACAUAUCACAAAAAGUUAAAGAUGAAUAAAAAUUAUUCAAAACUAAAGGUAAAAUUUGAGUAUUACAAAUAAUACCACUUACCCUCUCAAAAUAUCAUGCAUCUUUUCAUUAAUUUUAUAGUGUGACGAACAUAACAUAACUACAACAUUUUGCUUCAGACAUAUAAUAAAUAGCUGUCAAUACAUACUGCAUAAACAUUUAGAAUAAUUAAUAAUGUGUACAUAAUUGAUUUAUAAAAGAAAACACAAAUUAAUAUAUACUCAUGCAUGGUAAAACGGUCUUAAGUGACAUUCUUUAUUCUCAUUAACCAACUUAUUUUGUAUGUAAAUCUACAUAGUGUUUGCUACCAUAUCUUGAAAUUGAAUGUUCAAUGGAUCUAAGAAACAAUAUUUUCUUAAUUUUCUUUCAACACACAUCUCAUGCAUGAACCUAAUUAAAAGUUAAUGCAAAAGUCAAAUCUUCAUGCUAAAGUAUGAGAUCAAAUGAAUAUAAAUUGAAAUCAGUGUAAAAAUUAUACUUACGAGCACCACAAUUAUAGUACGAUUAUGUCCAACCAAUCAUCAUCCUUUAAAAAUUCUAUAAUACAACUCUUAGGAAUCAUAUAAGCUUGUUAUGGUUCAUGUUUUAAUAUAAUAGACUUGUAGAUGUCUGGAGUCUUCACUAUCAUUCUUGAUAGUCUCUGAGUAUUAUCUAGUUGAGAUGGUGUUCUCUCAAUAUUAUGAAUUGGGGUAGAAUAACUAUCUUUCAUGCUUAACCAUCCAUAAUAACUUUCUCAACUACUUUCUCAGGUAAGUCCAACUGAUAUGGAAUUGGGUGGUUGAGUACACACAUUGAUUUCAAUAGCCGCAUCAUAAAAACAACCAAAACACAAUACAAAAUUAAAAUACACAAACAAUAACAACAACAUACAACACAAUUUUUUUAACUUAUACGUAUGCCUCAAUCACAUCACGGGUACACUUCUCCCUCACUUCCUCAGACAACUUCUCUCGCACUUCCUCAGACAAAUUCUCUCGCUCCUCCUUAGCCAACCUCUCUCACUCUUCCUGGACUCUCUCUCUCACCUCCUAUAACAUCCUCUCUCGCUCAUCCAGAUUCACCCUCCCAUGUUCCUCAUAAGUUCACUUCUUCGUCGCCUCAUGAGUCCACUUUUGUCGCUCCUGUUCUAAUACCUUCCCAACUUUUGAGCAACUAUCUCUUCAAUUUAUCUCUUAUGAUUUACUUCGUUAAUUGAUUGUGAUGGUCUAAAAGAUAACUUCAAGCCGACGCGUCUUCCAAGACAACGAACGUGCCCUACAUGCUCCUUGGUUCCAAUCACUUAUACCAAGAUGUCAUGACGAUCUCGUGGAAUGAAGAUAUCAACUUUGGAUUGUUUAACCAAUACAUCCUACAACAUAUAUAAAAUUUCAUCUUUACCCAAUUUAAUUAAAUAAAACAAGUAAUGUUGAAAAAAGUAUCUACUUACAAUCUUUUCAGCCACUUUCCAUGUAGCCUCUGAUGUGAACUCACGAUGUGGUCUUUGAGGCUUCCUCUUCCAUUUCUUAUGGCAUGAUGGAGAUGGAUUAUGAUCAAGGCUUCUAUAAGGAUCUCCCAACUCUAAUUCUAUUUAUUUUCUUUUUUCAUUAAUCAUUUUUUGUUCAAGUUUAUCACAUCAUCCACGAGACAAUCUAUGUGGAUAGAUAUUUUUAGCUCUAUUCUUCUCUCCUUUUUGGCUCUUAGCCAAGAAAUCAGGAGUGAUGCGAUAUUUUUCAAAAUCCUCCCAAAAAAUUUUAUCAAUAAAUGGACACUUCACGUAUGGAAUCACUUGGAUAUUUAAUAUAAUCAUGUGUGAGAUGUGUCUUAAAGCCCAUCCAACACUCACCACCAUAUCCAAGCCAUUUCUUUUUCAGCAUUUUAUCAUCUGGAAUAAUAAACACUUCAUAUGUUUACAUAAUAUAAUUGAUAUUAACAUUAAACCAAAAAAAUAAUUGGUCAUCUAUACUUGUGAAACAAAUAAUAAAAUUCAUAAUAAAUACCGUAAUAUCGGUCCAUAUGAUAUCUUUCAAAUCACCAUCAACUUCCUGCCAAUUAUCUAUCAAAAUACUCACUUUGCUUCUACCUUGUAAUGCUAAGUAACCCCUAGAGUCACCAGCAUGUUCACCAUAAGCCUUAGGGUUCUUACAUUAAAAUUAACCGGGAAGAGAACACCUCUUUCAUGGGCUUUUUUCACCUUAGUCAAUAUCGUGACACCUCUAGUUUUUCAUUUACUUUUUGUAUUAACAGAGGUUGUAUGAGAGCUUCUUGUCGAAUCUCACAUGUUUGUGUAAAUUAAGAAAAAUAACAACAUAUAACAGAGACACUAACAUGAACUUCAAAGCCACAUCACACAACACUUUAUCCAAAAUGAUUCAGACAAUAGAAACAAACUAACUAGAAAUAUACAGUAGAGAGAGAGAGAGAGAGAGAGAGAGAGAGAGAGAGAAGCAGGAAGAGAGAGAGAGAGAGAGAGAGAGAGAGAGAGAGAGAGAGAGAGACCAUAGAAACAUACUAACUAGAAAUAUACACCACACUUCAUGUAAAAUGAUUCACAAAUUUAAGUUAUAAGAAGACACAAUAAUGAAUAUUUCUAAGUUCUAACACAUAAAUAAUAACACAACACAAGAUUUAUUUCUAACACAAAUUUAAACACAAGUGAUAAGGUAAUAAUAAAACACAACGUUACUAUUUCUAACACAUUUAUAACACAAGUUGCAAUGACUAUUUCCGAGACAAGUUACAAACACAUUGCAUGAACAUGAUUAAAUAUUAAAACAAUAAGUUAUGAUGAAUCAUUUCAAGAAAAAUAAAAUAUACGGAUAUUGCAUUUCAACAGUAUUACCAUUUCUAUGAACAUUUCUAAAACUAACACAAUUUCAGUUAGUAUAUAACACCAUAGUGCAUAACAACAUCUCUAUGAACAUUUCUAAAACUAACACCAUUUCUAUGAACAUUUAUAAAAAUAACACCAUUUCUAUGAAUAUUUAUAAAACUAACACCAUUUCAGUGAUAAACAACAUCUAAGUGGUGAAUUACACACCUCAAACGUGAUGACGAAGCUUCAACGAGUAAGGUUGGAAGAGUUGAUGUUCGAGUUGAUGUUGGAAUAGUUGAUAUUCAAAAGAGAUGAUGGAAUACGAGUUUUGAUGAAAAUUGCCUAGGAUUUUUGUUGAAAUAAUAAUGAUGAAACACGAUAGGUAAAUGAAAAGUUAAAGUCUAGUUUUGUGAAAUAUAUAUGCAAAAGAACACACACGUCAGUUUUUAGGAAAAUCGGGGGAAUAAAUUAAUUAGAAAUUUAAAAAAUAGAAAAGCGUCAUAUUUUGGGAAUUCAAGUAAAAGAACUAUCACGUCGAUUUUUAUACAAAACUGAGGGAGUAGAUCAUUUAAUAAUUAAAAAUAAUAUAAAAUAAAAAUGGCAUUUGAAAAUAUUAAUUUAAAAAUAUUGAUGCAAAAGAUAUCAUCCCUCGGUUGGGGCAUGUAACUGAAUAAAUAAAAAGGACAAGGGAAAUGCGCCAAGUGAGAAAUAGUGACCCUAAACCAAUUUAAAAAUUAAAAAAAAACAUAGAAUGCAAUAUCUAAGAUUCGAAGUGUGAUCCCUGGUAGUUAUAUUCCCUCGGUUUUGGGCAAAACUGAAGGUAUAGGUUGUAUAUAUAUUUUUAAAAAUUUAAACAUGGCGCUCCCUGGACAUAUACCUCGGUUUUUGGUUGGUCGAAGUGAAAACUUUGUCAUUAAAAAUAUAAUUUGUAGUGGUGAUCGUAAUUUUGCAAAUGUGGGAGUCCUUAACUUCCAAGUCUACCAUGUUGGCCAUGAGUGUUUAAGGAACUCCAUAGCCUUAAGGAAUGCAACAAUAUUUGCAGUAGGUGUAAACUAAGUUUCAUUGUCAACUUAGGUCUUAGAGACAACCUCAAUAGUUGACCCCUUAUGAGGGUCACUACAAACCAAAUUAGUGACCCUCAAUUAUAUUCCCCCAAAAAAGAGUUUUAUGUUAUUUUACUUUUCAAUCACUUUUGUGUCAGGCUCAGAGACCACAUUUCUGCCUUUAUGCUCAACCUGCACAUACGUUUUGGGUGGCACAUUUUUAUUUCUUGGACCAUAUUUGUCAGCAAUCGGCUUAAUUAGAAGGGUUUUGUUAUUACAAUGAACCCUAACAUGACCCGUGCAAUUACAUAAACUAUAAAAUUCAGGUAAAUUUUCAUAUUCAACUUCAACGAAGAAACAAAAUCCCACUCUUUCAACUAACACUUUAUAUGUAAUUAACAUGGUAAGGUCAAUACCAAUAAGCACUCUCAUGAAGCUUCCAAAUGGCCUAUCAGAGUAAGGCUUAUUAGCUUUCGAGUCAAUACACAAUGGAGUUUAUUGCUACUAGCUAUAGAAAAAAGGAUUUUAGGUCUCUAGUAUUCCUGGGACAAACCAUGAAUCCUAACCCACACUUGUGUCGAUGUUUGUUUAAGGGUUGGAGGAAUAAAAUCUCUAGUCUAAGAAAAUAGUUUCAACAAACUAGGGGAUAGAGUCCAAGAUUUAACAAAUUUAACUCUUCUGACAUAUUUUAAAACGGAGACAGAGAACUCUAAGUAGUCAUUCCAUAGCAAAGGAAUACCUUAUUUCCCAAUGUAGCGGGGUAUUCGUUACCUUUAGAUUUAUCAAGUAAGAAGUUUUAUCAAAUCAAAAAAUAAUAAAAAUGUCAGAGAUCUAGGUAAGGGGGUUGGUUAUGAAAUGGGAAGGUUUUAAGCACCCAAAACAUCCUUAGUACUCUAAGGGAGCCCUUUUUGCAAAUGUGUUUUGUAGGUUGGUAUUUGUGAAAAUAUUUGUGCAAACAAGAUUGGAGGGAUGAGAAGAGAAUAGAUUAUAUUUACAAAUUUGUUAUUUGAAUGGAUGAACCCAUUUCCUACGUACCAUCACAAAAGGUAGGAUCAAAACCUCGUAGUUCGGGGUAGAAAUCUCAAAAAGAUUGGUGAAUUGAUUUGACCAAAAGCCUUGAGGUCUUUUGCUAUCAAAGGGAGAAAACUCAACCUAAACCAACAAUCCACCAUGUGAGGAGGACUUCAACAUACUAGUGAGGGGUUAACCCUAUAAUAAGUAUGGAAAACUUAUAGUCCAAUCACUAAGGAUAAGGUGAGGUUUACAUCAACCACUAUGAUAACUCAAACUUAUGGCUAAUGUUUAUGAAAAAAUGUUUUAACAAAGGUGGCCAUUGGAACCACAAAAACAACUUAAAGUGAGUUGUAUUUACAAGUUAGAAGUACUUACAAAAUGAAGUCAAAGUUGAAUUAAGAUUCAUUCACAAUGAGUAUUAAUGAAAUGAUUUUGAAAAGUCAAAGGCAUAAGGCCUAGGUUUCUAAUUUGAAAACAACGUCAAUGAUUGCACAAAAUGAGUUUGGCUUGGGUUAGAGUGGAGAGAAGAAGAGAAGGGUUAGUCCUAAAGCAUACAAAGAUAAGAGAAAAGAUAAAACCCUUGGAAUUCCUUUUUCUUGAAAUCAUGGAGAUGAUUCAAGAUGCUCCUUUCCUUUGGACUUAGCAAGCAACAAGCAAUCAAAACAAAUAUACAUUCAAGCUCCUAGGAUCUCCAAUUGGCUUGUCUCUCAUAACUUGGCUACCCAUGACAAUGGUCCUUCUUACUAUCUCAAGGUGGAAUCCCUAUCACACAAGAGAAAACAUAAAAAAGUUCACAACACAAUAAGAGGAAUGGACAAAGAAUAAGUUUUGGAAAGGAAGUCCUUUGAAGUCAACUCUUAGAUUUUAGCAUUCUAAAGGCAUGAGGCCUAGUUGCUAUUCAACCAAUUUAGAAUUCUAAAGGCAUGAGGCCUAGUUUCUCUUGAACUCCUUUAAGCAUAGGUAAGGUCCUAAUUCUAAGUCCUUUCUCCUUUUUGCAUUGGGUUCACACAAACAAAGACAAAAUAAAUACAAAGCAACAAUAUAUUUAUAUACAAUAAUGAGCUCAAAUGAGCAAAAAGAAAAUGACAUAAACAUAAAAUACGUGCUAAAGUGAGCAAAGUAAAAAGCAAUAUGAAUAGAUGAGCAAGAAAUAAAGUGCAUUAAAGUAAAUUGCAAGAAAUUAAAUGCUCAAAUUAAAGUUAGUAAUUAGUGGUUACGUAUGUUAGUGUGUCAUAAGACAAUUUAGCGCUAUGUUAAGCAAUCGUAAGUGGACUAAUGUAGUAGUCACACCUAUCUGAGGUCGGUCAAUAAAACUAUAGGCAAAUAAACACAAGUUAGAUAUCAUGACUAGUAAGCCAAGCUCCGAAAACUUGCCAUGCCAAAAAGAAAAGAGAAAGGCCUUGUAUGGACUUUAGGCUUUUUGCUUGACCAAGAAGCAACCCAUCUUGGACACAAAGCAACUCACUUGAUCAUGGAUCAAGUUGAGUUUGAUUUGGAUCAAAGAAAGUUAAACCUCUCAUAUGUCAAGACCAACCAUAAGACAUUAACUCAUUGGCCAAAAUAAAAAGAAGAAAUGAGAUGAAGAUGAAAUGGAUAAAAGAGCAAUCAAAUAUCAAACACAAUUGGUCAAAAGUGAAUCAAAUCAUCAUCAACCAAUGUAAAAUAGAAGAGAAAUGAAGAUUAGAAGUCAACAAGUCAAACAUAUUUUUUUUGUAUUUUUGGAAUUAAAAUAAAUGCAAAAUAAAAAUGGACAAAAUAUGGUCAAACAUCAAAUUCAAUUCAAAUAAACUUCAACAAGUCCAGUAGAAUUCUCAUAGGUCUAACAUGGUCAAACAAGGUUUGACAAAUUUUCUCAACAAUUUUUGAAAUCAAAAACUAUUUUAAAACAAUUAAAAACAAUGAAAAAUAACACAAAUGAAUUAAAAUCUCAAAUAAAUCUCAAAUCAAUUAAAAAAUUGAUGAGACUAUUUUUCAUUGGCUUAUCAUGAUCCAUAUGUGUUAAGAAAAUAUUUUUGGAAUUUUCAGAUAUCAAAAAGUAUUUAAAAUGAAUUAAAAACUAUUAAAAACAAAAUAAUUCACAAAAAAUAUUAAAUGAAGUCACAAAAAAUAAAUAAAAAAUCAAAAUAUGAAACUAGAUUUUUCACAGAACUUUUUGGUGUUGGUCUCAUAUUUUUGUGACUUCAAAUAAAAUAUUUAUGAAUUUUUGAAAAUAAAAGGAAUUAAAAGAAAUUAAAACAGAAAAUAGAAAAUAGCAAAAAUGCGCUGCCAUUGGAUUUGUUUCAUUAAUUGACGUGGCAUCAUCACACGGCUCAGAGGCGCGGUUAUACCAUAUGCCUUGGUCAAGCGCGUUACACAAUGAAUUAAAAUAAGUCAACAAAAGCAAAGGCCAUGAUUAGAUCAUUUGAGCAUCAUCCAAGGACUCAGAGGCUCCCCAGUGGGGAUGGUGGUGGAAAACACCAUCUUCUCCGGCCAGAGAACCAACUCCGACCACCACGCGCGGGUUUUUAAAACUUAAUAAAAAUAAACAAGCAAGGUAUCAAAAUGAAGUUGGGGUGAUGUACAUCACUGUCAUACCCCAAUUUUGUCCUGGCAUUUUAAAUUUUCAUAAAUUCGAUUUAAUUUUCAUUUUACAUCAUAUGUACAUCAUAACAUGCAUUUUAUCAUUAAUAAUACCUGAAAUAUCAGUCAGGAUAAAUUUAUUGAAAAUACAGACAAUUCGAUUGAAUCAUUCCUCAAGUACGGACAAAAUCAGCGGAUAAAAAGUUUCGAAAUUAAAAUUACAGACGCCAGUAUUAUUAAUCUACGAUUCAUGUAGUUUAACCUGGUGUGCUCGUUGUAUUUUUCAGCGGCUGUUUCAGUUGCGUUUUGACCCGUCUGAGCCCUUUUAACCGGUGAAAAUUUAUUUCAAAAAUUAAAGAAACGCUGUAUUUUUUCAGUAAGUAUAUUUUGUGCUGAUCAUUUUAGUGCAUCCGAUUUAAUUUUUCGAGCAAAUUUUCGCGCCCGACAUUUAUUCAUUUUUGAUUAUUUUAUUUUUUGUUUUUAGUUAAAAUAAUUAGUAAAUUUAAAUAGCAUUAAGUAAUUAAUUAGUUUGAUUUUAUUUUGUUUAUUUUAACUUUUUUUUUAAAUUUGAUUUGAUUUUAUUAUUGAAACUCAUUUUUAUCUCCUAAAAUAUCUAGACUAAGGUUAGUUUCGACAUUUGUUAAUUUUAUAAACCCUAGUAUAUAAUAUUAGUUUCAUUAGCUUGAGAAAGAGGAGGAGAAACUCAGAAGAGCUGAGCGGCGCAUAUACAUUCAAUCCUCUCCCUCAUUUUCAAGGGAGUCAAUGAAAAUAUAGUUAGUUUAUUAUCUAAUAGAGAGAGUUGCAUGUGUUUUAGACACUCAACCUACCAAUGAAUCAAACUAUCAUUUAAACUCGCACAACAACAUUGUUUCUGUUUCCGAACUCAACCGCACCACCAACGGUAUUGAAUCUGCAUCUCACGCUGUCAACCUCUCUUCAACGGUAAGUUACUCCGUCUUCAUCGUCAUUAUUGUGUGUAACGAUGCUCAAUGUCUCGAGCUCAAUACGGAAAACAACUGGAUCUGCAGCAAGAUCAGCGUCAUCCAUCGAGGUUCAAGUGGUUUUUUCAAUUUGAUUAUCUCUGUUUACCAUGUUCUAAUUUAUUUUUCAUUUGCUGUUUGUGCGUAUCAUGUCGGCAUUUUUCGUUUCAUUCUUUUAGUGUUUGAUAUGUAUGUCACUGGUUUAAGAGUGUUGUUGUUGUUUUCAACAUGUUAUGAUUCUCGAAUGUACAGGUUUCGGUUUUGCUCAGUUUCAUAUUAAUCUUGAUAGGGGCUUCUGUUGAGCUAAGGUGGUGAUAUUUAUUUGGGUCAAUUCAGAUUGGGUUAGUGUUUGUAUUGAUGUGCGUAUUUCGGUUAUCUAUUGCGGUCUAAUUAUUCCAUGUUUGCACUGGAUUUUGAUGCUAUAAUAAUGAUGGUGUGACACUUAUGCAAUGUUGAGAAUAUAUUCUGUGUUGAUGCUAGUUUGACUUGCAUGUAAAUUACAAUCACUCUCUUGUGUUAACACCAUCUUAAAUUUAUAACAUGCUUAUAUAUUGGUAUGCUUAGACUUUACGUUUGACAGUUUUGUUAUGAAUCUUCAUAUGUCGUCAUUUUUCAUACUAAGAAAAUAGUACACUCACUUUUUCAGCUAGAAACCUCCUUUGAGUUUAAUAUUAGUCAUGGCAUGAGAAAAUGUUAUUGAUAUAAGUUAUUUAGGACUUGUUUGGUUUGAGAUAAUGUUUCUUGUGUUUACCAAUAAUUACAAGUUUCUACAAAAUUAUUACUUCAUUGUUUUCAAAAAUAAUUAAAAGGCUUUCAUUGUUUCAUAUACAAACACCAGUAUUUGAAAUAGGGAGUGCAAUGAAAAUAAGGUGGUUACUUUUGUAAGUGUUAAUGAAAACUAGAAAUGAACAUAAGGAAUUUUAACUGUAAUAAAAUAUGUUGAAGUUAGCCAUGAAUAUUCUAAUAAGUAAACUCACAUGUUAUAGUUAGGGCCAAUUGCAUUAUGUUGUUUUUCUUUUUGACUGAAAAAGUAUUUUAUGAGAAUAUUUUAUGAGAUCUUUCAAUGUGGGAUGUUGGCUACUUAGGACUCGUUGUAGUGUCUUUUCACCUUGAAAAUAUAUUUUAUGAGAUCUUUCAAUGUGGGAUGUUGGCUACUUAGGACUCGUUGUAGUGUCUUUUCACCUUGAAAAGUAUUGAGUAAAAUUAUUAGGAUGUAAAUAUUUGAUUAUCUACUCAAUUUUGUCCAAUUUUAUAGAAUUAUUUCCAUAUACCAAGAGAAAGGUUCCUAACAUGAGUGCAGCUAACUUAUUUUAAUAGAAUAUAACUUUCUUUAUUUUUAGAUUGGUCCACCUAAAUAAAACCAAAUUUCCAAAAUCAAACAAUUCUCAAUUCAAUGUUGAAUCCGGUUUCAAAUACCUUUGUAAGUCAAUCACUUUAAGCAUCACCAUCAACCUCACAUAGCUUACUCUUGGGCUUUCUUACAAUGAGACCUAUUCGGUUAUUAGAUGAUCGAUUAGGUGAUUAAUUCACUAAAAUAUAAUUUGUUUACAAACACAAAUUCAAAUCUCGAUCCAAUAUCGAGUAUUUUUAUUCAAAUUAAUUUAAAAAUACCUACUCCGAUUAAACACCAUUUUAUUUAGAAAUGAAAAGGGGGAUGGUUUUGAGUUUUCAACUCCUCUCCUCGAUUAUUUGAAUAUGAGUUCUCUUACUCGGUUAGUCAGAUAAUUGUCAUUUCUAAUUCGCCUAAACAAUCAAAUCAAAUCAUUUUAUAAUAAGAAACGAAAAGGGAGAUAACUUCGAGUCUUCAAUUUUUCUCCUCGAUUAUUUGGAUACAAGUUCUCUUAUUUGGUUAGUUAAAUAAUCGUUGUUCUUCCGCAAACUUAUAAACCCGAUAAAAUCAAAUUAUUUUCAUAAUAAGCUAAAUGAAAAGGGAGAUGACUUUGAGUUUUCAACUUCUCUCCUCAAUUGUUUGAAUAUGAGUUCUCUUACUCGGUCAGUCGAACAAUUGUCAUUUUUCCACAAAUUAAUAAAUCAAUCAAAGCUAUACGAAAAGGGAGAUGGUCUUGAGUUUUCAAUUCCUCUUCUCAAAUGCUUGGAUGUGAGUCAUUUUACUCAUUCGUUCAAGUACUUUUCGUUUAUUCUAAAAACGUUAACCAUACAUAAAUCUUAUUUUCAUAAAUAUUCAGAUGAAACAGAAAGCGGUUUAGAGUCUUCUAUUCCCUUUCUCGAUUAUUAGGAUACGAGUUGCCUUACUCGAUUAUCCGAGUAUUCGUCAUCCUUUCAAAAUACUUUAACUACUAUCAAAUCUUUUUAUAAUUAAGGAUGAAAAAGAAAGUGGUUUAGAGUCUUCUACUCCCUUUCCCGACUGUUAGGAUACGAGUUGUCUUACUCGACUAUCCGAGUAAUCGUCAUCCAACCAAAAACAUCUCAACAUAACCAGUCAAACAAAAUAUCCAACAUAUUAAUCCAACUUGUCACCCUCGUG